UUGGCAUUACCGUCUGAAUACUGGCAUGGGGGGUUGUUGUAGAACUGAACCCAAACGUAGUCAAAUAAGCCAGUUUGGAUUGCGCCGUCUAGGUGAGCAUCCGGGAUUGGACAUUGUGGAGCUGCGGCUAAAUAGACCGUUUUUGCCUGUGUGUUGUGCCCGUUGAGUAACCUGGCGAGCUCAUCAUAGAACUGCCCACCACCUAUAACAAUGGCGAAAUCAACGCCGUCCAAAACAGCGUCCCCAAGCGGGCGCGAUGCUGACUGACCACCUAGGAAGUUGUUCCAGAUGUAAUCAGCAACUUGCCUUGCAUCAUCAGCUGAAGUGAGAUUGUAACUUCCGACAGCCCCUCCAAUCGAGAGGAGGACUUUUAUGUUUUGGGAUUGGCAAGCUCUGAUGUCGGCGCUCAGCCCCGUGCAAGUACUACUGCUGGGGUCGCAGUGUCCGGCGAGGUUGAGGGCAGGGACCUGGUUGUUUCCGAAAGUCAUGAGGAAAGCUAUGUUAACAAACUGGUAGUUGCCUGAGUUGCAAGCAUCUACUAGGGUUCCUUCGUUGCCGUUUUGUCCCCAAUACGUUGCGAUUCCGGCGGCUUGAGAGGACUUGCAUGAAGAAAUGAGAAUCAAGAGGAACAGCGUUAGGGCUAGGGUUUGUGUUUUGGUUGCCAUUUUGUAUGUGUUUUUUUUGUUGUUGCUCAAAGUGCUUGGGAGGGUACAUGUAUUUAUAGGUGCAGGGGACUUGUCGGUGAAGGUUUAGGGGAAGAGAAGUAUGACAGACGUGUCUUGCAGGUACAAAAUGGAUGCCAGUCUUCUGCUUGGAUCCGCGUCAACCAAGUUAGGGCCUGUUUAGUCCAAGUUUCACUUCACAACUUAGAAAUUUGUGAAUUAAGUUAGGUCGUGUUGCACGUUCUUUUUUCAAAAACCACUCAUAAGCGCUCUUAAUAUUUUUCGUAAGAAUGCAAGUGUUUUUAGAAAAAACACUCGAGAUGCUUAGCGUGUGAUUUUUCUAGAAAGCACUUUUAAGUGUUUUUUCAACCUAAAACACUUCAAAACCCUUUUAGUUGUUUUAAAGACACUUCCAACAGACACAAAAUGAAAAAUUACUUCCAAAGAGAAAUAUAGCAUGCUAUUUGAGAGAUUCCUAAACUAAAUAGCUAUUAAGCGUGACCUUAACCACUUAAUUAGGUGAAAUAAAAUAUCAAAUUUGACAAACAAUCUGAUGAACGCCAUAGCUAUAUGUUUAGUCAGUGGAUGAGAUAAUCAUGAAACAAUACGUGGAGAAUCAACACAGCCUUAUCAUCGCCAAAAAAUUUCAGCAUGCCAGAAACACGACCUGGUACAAUACUCUUGGUACCUCAAUUGUUGUCUUUAUUCCUGCAGAACCACAUGAGUGAGAUGUUUGCUUACCAUGCAACCAUGAUGUCCAAUACUCUUGGUACCUCAAUCGUUGUCUUUACCAAAACUGGUUUUAUGGCUUAUUCUAUUGAUCCAUUACCGACCUACGUAUACCGUGACCAUAUUUGCCUUUACGAAUGAAUGAGUUUUCAUGUUACCUCUCACAAAGGCAUUAGUUAAAAUUUUAACUGUAUCAGUUAUAUAGUACGCUGUGCAAGUUCUAUUCAUUAGCAAGUACUUUGAUUGUCAUGCAGUAAGAGCAUACAACGGAGAUUGGCUUUGUAUCAAGGCGUAUGUCCCAUAUACAUGGAGUUCCCAGAAGAUUCUGAAACAAGCUUUAGCAAUGCCUUGACUGUGCUGAAGGUGUUUUGCUGCAUAUUUCCUAAAUUUAUGGCGACGUAUGCUAUUCAACCAUGUCAGCACUGAUGGUGCAUUUUCUGGUGUUUUGUUUACAGGAGCAAGGAUUGGUAAAGGCAGGAGAAGAGGUCGCACUCGUUCAAAGUGGCAGGCAACCCAUUUGGCGGCUCCAACCCACUCACAACAUUCAAGUGCGAAAGUUUAGGUGCAACGUAGAUGGAAAACUCGUAGCUUUUGUGUUGUACUUCCAGUUGAAUGUCGUGAUAGUUUCUGAUGAAAUUGGGUUCCACCAUAAAACCAAUUGGCAAUAUGGGGAGUAGCCAAAGAUCAUAUAAGCACAUAGUAAACCUUGUCCCUCAUCAAUGUGGGACAACUCUCAACAUACCCCCGCACGUGUGACGGAAUUUCAAUCCUACACGUGGACAACAACUGGAUGACGUAGAGUGCGUGUGGCCGUUGGGCUUCACACGUGGACAACCUUGCUCUGAUACUAUGAUGAAAUUGGAGUUCCACCAUAAAACCAAUUAGCAAUAUGAGGAGUAGCCCAAGAUCAUAUAAACAUAUAAUAAACCUUGUCCCUCACCAAUGUGUGACAACUCUCAACUCCAAUGUGGGACAACUCUCAACAGUUUCUUGCUUUGGUUGUUUAAUUUUACUUCUGUUGCACACUUUUGUGGUCCUAUCUGCUUCUUUUUGUAUCCCUCUUUCCCCCUAAUUAGUUUGGGUGUAUGUUUUAGAACAGUAAGUUGUUUCAGUAUAAAUUUGGCAGUUUGAAUGAAAUGUCUUAACUUUUUACUCAAACUGUCUAAUUUUUUUUAAUUGUUUGAUUGAGGAGACAGAUUGUCACCUUAUAAUAUCCGCAGCAUAUACCGUUUGUCGCGUGGCCGUUGAACAUUGACUAGGUUAGGAUUAAGAUUGAGAGAGUCUGGUGCUUUUGUGAAUGUUAUUUUAUAGAUAGCGUGAUUAUACAGAUGGCAAAGCGCUUGAACUGGACUCGACAGAAUGAGGUAUUUAUUAACUAAGGUCAAAAGUCAAGCAAAAAUUGUUGAUAGGGACUUCAUAAACAAAAUUAAACAACAUUCGUUUGUAUAAUUAUCAAACCGACAAUAUCUUAGGGUGCUAUCCACACAUUCUUUUUUAUCUUUUGCACACUCCUCUCAAUUUUUAACUGCUAAAUCAAAUGAAUUGAAGAAUAUCAAAUAACAAAAAUUAACAGAGAAUGUGUGAAAGAUAAAACUGAGUGUAUAGAUAGCAUCACCCUAUCUUAUUAAGAUAAUGACAUCCUAUUUAUUUGAUAUAAUCUUUUAGGGACUAACCAAAACAUUGAGUUGCAAAAGUCAAACUCUUCCGAUGAUGGAAGAACUAAAUCCACUUUUAUCAUCACAAAACUUAACAUCACACCACCAUACUUCGACGACUUCUUUAUCACCAGUAGAAUUUCCGAAUUCAGCGAAGCAGCCGGAAUAUACCCACUUACGGCCGCUCAGGAGCCGCCGGCAACCCCAAAAACAUCUUUCUCAUACAAUGAUGUCACUUGGCGUCUUAACAAGGUGGGAGACUUUGGGAGGACUUUAUUGGGUAUUUCCAAGUACUCGGUACUCUAUGUAUUUUAACCAUUAGAUCUUUGUUUAGAAAUAUAAAAAUCAAAAUCUAACGGUUAAAACAUCCAAUGUACCAGUAGUACUGCUCAAAUUUUUUUGAGACAUUGAAUGCAAUCCCUCCAAAAAAUUAAUAGGUUAUACAGUAGUACCACUUCAACCGUGAUACUUUCAUUCAAAGGCUAGUUUUAUACUAAUAUGUGAUGCUUUCAUUCCAUAUUUGAGAGGGCCUUUGAAUAAGUAUAAAGCUAGCCUUUACAAUAUGAGCUAGCUAGCCUCCAUACACACAGUGCCUGCCAAUCAUGUAAAACCAUAGACAAUGAUACAAGACAAUUUAUUUGGACCUAUAAUUUCUUUUCAUAACUACAUCACAUCGCCCUUUAUGUAAAACUAUAUUUUAUUCAAUUUCAAAAAUUAGUACAUGCAAUAACAUGUUUUAUCAUAAAAAAUACGAUAAAUUUCAGGCCUCGUUUGGCAGCUCAGACUGUACUGACUAUUUCUGUCGGAUAGGAUAAAUAGUCAUCGGAUAGUACUGACUAAAUUAGUCGGGCGUUUGGUGCAGUAUCGGACUAAUGACUGUAUUAUUUAUACUGUGUUUGGUAUUAUACCGGAUAGAAGGAAUCAAACUUAAAAUAAAAUUAAAAAAAAAAUUAAAAUCAUCUCUCUUGUUCCAUAUCUCUCCGCCGCACCCCCCCAAACUCCCUCCCUUUCUAUCCCUUCCUCUUCUUCCCCGUCUGCUCCCCUGAACUAAACCCCACCACAAAGGCAGCAACAAGAAACCCAUCUUUCAAAUUCUCAUCGUUUUUUUCCCAAUCCUUAUUUUUUUUUAGCUACAAAUCAACCCAGCAAAAAAACACACCACAAACCAAGAAAAUUCACACAAAGGACUUUGUUUUCUAUUAGUCCUAAAAAACAAUUGGAAGGAAAUUCACGGAGGACACCUUUUUUUCAACAAACCAAGAACACUCAUCGGAGAGAAAAAUGGGGCUGACUGUGAUUUUGGGCAUUAGGUUGGGGAAAAGCAUUGACAAAAUUCGAUUUGGAGGAGGGGAAGAGCUGAGUGACGCCUCCAGUUGGCGAAUUCCUCAGCUUCCAUCCGCCCCUUUCUAUAUAUCCCUGUGGAAUAUGUUGUUUCGCUACUGGUCUCCUUUUGUCUCUCUCUCACUCUCUUCUUUGUUCCUCUGUGUGCUUUCCGUCGGACGAGACGGGAAAUUAGUCGGCGAAUGACUGCAGAGGAGUGGCGCCCGGGGUGGAGAACUCGUCGAGGAACUACUCGAAGGCCCACUUUGAGAAGUCGUUAACGGCGGCUUUGUGAAGUUGGAGAGGACAGCGCCCUGACUAAUUAUCCCGAGCUUUUGGGCUGUUUUAAUAGUACGUUGUCAACCGUAUAAAAUUUGAUGGGCCGGAUAAUUAAGCGGGUGCUUAUUUAGUACGAGAGUGCACCAAACAACAGCUCCUGUAUUACUUAUCCUAUCCGAUGCUUUAUACGGCGUGCCAAACGAGGUGAGCGUGUAUUAGAAAUACGGGAUGGUAAAUCACAUAUUAUUAUAUAAGUGAAAAAAAGUUUUAUUUUUUUAAGUGUGCCUCCACUUAUAUAAUAUAUUGUACUACCCAAAUUCUGAAUAAGUAAAAGAUCUCUCCGAAAAAUACAUAUGCAUGUUUUAUUCAAAAGGUAAGGAAUGAUGCGUCAUCAUCCCUAAUACACUUUAUUAUAGUAGUAGCAUCAAUUGAGGCAGAGAAGUUAAUUAGAUGCUGUCCUUAAUGGAUGCACUAUAACCGUUGUCAUAGAACCUGUUCCAAAGCAUAACUCCUCCGUACUUGGGCGAAUUCUUAAUCGUUGGAAGAACUUGUGACUUGAGAGCGUCAGCAGGAAUAAAUCCGCCGCUCGGAGCGGCCUCAGGAGCUGCCGGUAACCCCAUGAACACCUGGGUGGCCGGAACCGAGGCCCAUUGGUUCCAACUGCUCAAAAGAGCGUCGGCAUUACCGUCCGCAUACUGGCAUUGGGGGUUGUUGUAGAACUGGACCCAAACGUAGUCAAAUAAACCGGUUUGGAUAGCGCCGUCUAGGUGAGCAUCCGGGAUCGGACAUUGUGGAGCUGCGGCUAAAUAGACCGUUUUUGCCUGUCCGUUGUGUCCGUUGAGUGACUUGGCGAGCUCAUCAUAGAACUGCGCACCACCCGCCUCAAUGUCGAAAUCAACGCCGUCCAAAACCGCGUCCCCAAGCGGGCGCGAAGCUGACUGACCACCUAAGAAGUUGUUCCAGAUGUAAUCAGCAACUUGCCUUGCAUCAUCAGCUGAAGUGAGAGAGUAACUUCCGGCGGCCCCUCCAAUCGAGAGGAGGACUUUUAUGUUUUUUGAUUGGCAGGUUCUGAUGUCGGCACUCAGCCCGGUGCAAGUACCACUAGCGGGGUCGCAGUGGCCGGCGAGGUUUAGGACAGGGGUUUGGUUGUUUCCGAAAGUAGUGAGGAAAGCUAUGUUAACAAACUGGUAGUUGCCUGAGUUGCAAGCAUCUGCUAGGGUUCCUUCGUUUCCGUUUUGGCCCCAAUAGACCGCAAUUCCGGCGGCUUGGGAGGACUUGCAUGAAGAAAUGAGGAUCAAGAGGGACAGCGUUAGGGCUAGGGUUUGUGUUUUGGAUGCCAUUUUUAUAUGUUUUUUUGGGUUGUUGUUCAAAGUGCUUGGGAGUGGACAUGUACUUAUAGGUGCAGGGGACUUAUCGGUUAAGGUUUAGGGGAAGAAAAGUAUGACAGACGUGUUCUGCAGGUAAGAGUCUUCUGCUUGCAACCGCGUCAAUCACGUUAGGGCCUGUUUAUUUAGUCCAAGUUUCACUUUACAACUUAGAACACGUCAAUUAAAUUAGGUCGGGUUGAAAAUGCAUUUUCCAAAACCACUUUCACACAUAAGCGCUUCUUAUAUUUUCAUAAAAAUGCAAGUGGUUUUAUAAAAAAAAAAACUUGAGGUGUUUGGCGUGUGUUUUUUCAGAAAGCACUUAAAAUAUUUUUUCAACCUAAAAUCACUGAAUUUUUUAUGAUUUCAAAGUUCUUUUAAUUGUUUUGAAGGCACUUCCAACUGAUAUUUUAUAAAAAAUUACUUCUAGAGAGAAUUAUAGCAUGCUAAUUGAGAGAUUCCGAAACUAAAAAGCCAUCAAAUUUGCCAAAAAAAAAAUCUGAUGAGACAAUACGUGGAGAAUCAACACAGCUGUAUCAUCACCAAAAAUUUUCAGUGUGCAGAAAUACAGUCCGGUACAAAGUGUUAUAAUAAAAUUGGUUGAUUUUUUUUUUUAAGUUUCCAACUAAUUAUAUUAUUACACUUGAUGUACCGAUCCGUAUUUCUGAAAAAUCUCUCCUUACCAUCACAUCACAUGAAUGUUUUGGAAAGUUCGUAGAUAGAAACCAAAAUCUCUCCUUAUCAUCACAUCACAUCACAUGAACGUUUGGGAAGCUCGUCGAUAGAAACCAAAUGGAAUAUGCUUUUAGCUGAGGAUGGCCAUUGGCCAGGGACUUCGGUCUAAUCACGAUGCUUUAAUUUCGCAGUCGGAAAAAAACUUUCGAAUAAAAUUUAGGGUAUAUUUAGGAAGUGUUUUUAAAUGAUUGAAAACAUUUUUAGAAAUAUUUUUUUUUAAAAACGUUUCCAGUCAUUUAAAAAAACUUCUUAAACGAGUUUAAUUACUUGUGUAUGGGGCAACAUUUAGCUAGUAAUGGUUCUCAUGAAUUGGAUUGUGGUGAUGUGAAAAUGGGUUUGGGUUAGUUUAGUUUAGAGUUUAUAUUUACUAUCCGGUGCAUGCAAAUGGAAUGUCAAAUCUUUCAGAGAAAUUUUGAUAGAACUGCCACUUAGGGCAACACAUAUUAAACAAACAAAUGUAGGGUUGGAGAAGACUAAAAUACAUGAAUUCUCGUGUUUUCAUAAAUGUGAUCUAAAAAUAAUAUAGCAUGUGCCCUGAGAACAACGUGAUCAGUACCUAAUCGAAGUUCUCUAGUGUGGAAAGAUUCAAGAGGGGUGUGACGCUUCCGACAAAUAAAAAAUCACACAUUUUCGAAUUCGGAAAUGUAUAGAACAGAGCAGAUAUCACUAGAUGAAUGUUAACUGUUUUACAGAAAAUUUAUAAGACAAUUAGAGUUAAACAACAGAAGCUUGCACUUUAAAUGGUUAUGUCCAGCUGCUUUUGGUAUGUAUAUGCUUUUUCCAUGUCUCGAUGUAGUUCCAGUUCACUGCUCAUCAUCCUGGAACAAUGCUUUCGAAACAGAGCCGCACGGCUGGCUACUGUAUUCUCGGUAAUCUUCAUCGUCAUCACAGCUGCGUUGCGAGCAUGAACGUUUGAUUCCUGUCAUUGGGGUUUCACAGACUCUGUCAUCGCAUGAACCUCUAUGAUCCUUCCUUUUAAACAGCUUUCGAAGCGGAUUUGACUUUGGUUUCAAUGGUUUCAGCCGUUUGGGGGCCCAAACUCUCUGCAGAUCGGGCAUCCAUCUUGUGGAUGAAGCGAAUCUCCAAGCCCUCUCUCUCCUCUCUUGAGCUUCAAGUAACUUGCGAGCAUGGUCGUCCUAUUGUUUGAUCUCUUCGACGCUUGGUCUUCCAAUAUCAGUUUUCAGCGGACGAAGAGACUCACCUUCUGCUUGUAAUGAGUCCCAGAUUCUAUAACUUCCAUCCACUUCGACACUCUUCGGUUUUUCUUUACAGGAUCGAUUGCUAUCCUCACUGUUGAGUAAACUAUUAGGGAGUUCUUCCUCAUCAGCAAACAGUAACAAAUCCAUUUUCGUAUAGAUUUUGUGAACCACAUCUUCAAGUGUCUCACAGUACCUGAAAAAUGUCCAAAUUCAGGCUCUUGACAAUUUGACAAAGCAUUUCAUUGAAAAGGUUCAAUCCUUACUACCAUUAUAAUUUAUAAUGUGUUGUAUGGUUUACCUCGUAAUGGUGCUAAGUUAUUUCUACAGUUUUGGGGCAUUUUUUUUGCAGUUUCGGUGCAAUUUUGAUGCAGUUCUUUUUUUUUGCAAUUUUGCUGCAUUGUUGUUGCUGUUUUUGCUGCAUGUUCAUUGAUUAAUAAAAAGGUCGUACCCAGUGCACAAGGCUCCCUUGAUUAAUAUAUGAGAAAAAUAAGACUGUCAUAUGCUUAAAUAGGUGUAUAUUUUAAAUUAUACAUUUUUUUUUCAAAAAUCGAACCGAAACUGUUUGAAACCGUACCGCACCAAACCAAACGGUUUGGUUUCAUUUCAGUUUUGGCUUCAAAACUGCACCGAACCGCACCGCAAAAAAAUUUGGUUUCGGUUGCGGUUUCACUCGAAACCGCACCGAAGCGCACCGCGCCCACCCCUACAGGGGACUUGUCGAUGAAGGUUUAGGGGAAGAGAAGUAUGACAGACGUGUCUUGCGGGUACAAAAUGGGUGCCAGUCUUCUGCAUGCAUGGAACCGCGUGAACCAAGUUAGGGCCUGUUUAGUCCAAGUUUCACUUGACAACUUAGAAAUUUGUCAAUUAAGUUAGGUCGUGUUGGAAAUUCUUUUUUCAAAAACCACUCAUAAGUGCUUUUAAUAUUUUUCGUAAGAAUGCAAGCGUUUUUAGAAAACACACUCAAGGUGCUUAGCGUGUGCUUUUUUUUAGAAAGCACUUUUAAGUGUUUUUUCAACCUAAAAACACUUGUUUUAAAGACACUUCCAACAAACACAUAAUUAAUGGAAAAUUACUUCCAGAGAGAAAUAUAGCAUGCUAUUUGAGAGAUUCCAAAACUAAAAGCUAAAUAGUUAUUAAGCGUGACCUUAACCAAGGUGAAAUAAAAUAUCAAAUUUGACAAACAAUCUGAUGAACGUCAUAGCUAUAUGUAUAGUCAGUAGAUGAGAUAAUCAUGAAACAAAACGUGGAGAAUCAACACAGCCUUAUCAUGGCCAAAAUUUGUCUGUGUGCCAGAACCACGGCCUAGUACACUAAAAGUGUCAUAAUAGAAUUGGUUGGAAAUUCAUUCGGUUACAACUGACUCUGAAGUCUUUAUUUCUGCACAACCACAUAGUGAGAUGUUUGCUUACCAUGCAACCAUGAUGUCCAAUACUCUUGGUACCUCAAUCGUUGUCUUUACCAAAACUGGUUUUAUGGCUAUUCUAUUGAGCCAUUACCGACCUACCGGGAUCAUAUUUGCCUUCACGAAUGAGUGAGUUUUCAAUUUACCUGUCACAAAGGCAUUUAGUUAAAAUUUGUAACUGUAUCAGUCAAAAUAUGCUGUGAAAGUUCUAUUCAUUAGCAAGUACUUUGAUUGCCAUGCAGUAAGAGCAUACAACGGAGAUUGGCUUUGUAUCAAGGCGUAUGUCCAAUAUAUACAUGGAGUUCACAGAAGAUUCUGAAACAAGCUUUAGCAAUGCCUUGACUGUGCUGAAGGUGAUGUUUUGCUGCAGAUUUCCUAAAUUUAUGGCGACGUAUGCUAUUCAACCAUGCCAGCACUGAUGGUUCAUUUUCUGUUGUUCUGUUUGCAGGAGCAAGGAUUGGUAAAGGCAGGAGAAGAGGUCGCACUCGUUCAAAGUGGCAGGCAACCCAUUUGGCGGCUCCAAUCCACUCACAAAAUUCAAGUGCGCAAAAUUUAGGUGCAACGGAGAUGGAAUAAUCGCCCUCGUAACAUAGAUUUCUUCGUCUACACUACAAAAGUUUCAAAUGAUAGCUUUUGUGUUGUACUUCCAGCGGAAUUGUCGUGAUACUUUCUUCCUUUGGUUGUUUUUUUUCUUCUGUUGCACACUUUUGUGAUCCUAUCAAUGUGCUUCUUUUUGUUUCCGAUUUCCCCCUAGUUAAUUUUGGCGUAUGUUUUAGAACUGUAAGUUGUUAAAGUAUAAAUUUGGCAGUUUGAAUGCAAACUGUCUAAAUUUUUUUAAUAGUUCGAUUGAGGAAACAGAUCGUCACACUCACAUUCUAAUAUCCGCCGCUUACCGUUUGUCGUGUGGCCGUUUAACACUGACUAAGGUAGAUCUCACAUCAGAUCAGCACGGGACUAGGUUCCGUGCUCUUGUGAAAGUUAUUCUACGUACGACGUGAUUCUACACAUGGUUUGUGGUUUGGGCUUGAACCGGUCUCUACGAAAUGAGGCAGAUUUUUUGUUUAUUAACAAAGGUCAAAAGUCAAACAAAAAUUGUUGAUACAGACUAUCUUAAACAAAAUUAAACAACAUUCGCUUGAAUAAUUAUCAAAUUGACAAUGUCUCAUAGGUGAUGCUGUCCAUACACUCUUUUUAUUUUUCACUCACUCCUCCCAAUUUUUAACCGUCAGAUCGAAUAAAUUAAAGAUGAUCAAAAGACAAAAAUUAACUGAAGAUAUGUGAAAGAAAAAACAAAAUGUAUAUAUAGCAUCACCUAUCUUAUUAGGAUAAUGACAUCCGAUUUAUUUGAUAUAAUCUUUUAGGGAAACCAAAACGUUGAGUUACAAAAGUCAAACUCUUCCGAUGAUGGAAUAACUAUAUCCAUUUUUAUCAUCACAAAACUCGGACCCUAACAUCACACCACCAUACUUCGACGACUUCUUUAUCACCAGUAGAAUUUCCGAAUUCAGCAAAGCAGCCACAAUAUACCCACUUCUGGCCACCUCAGGAGUGGCCGGCAACCCCAAAAACAUCUUCCCUUUCUAAUACAUUAAUGAUGUCAGUUGGCGUCUUAACAAGAUGGGAGACUUUGGAGUCGCUUUAUUGGGAUCUCCCGAGUACUCGGUACUCUAUGUAUUUUAACCGUUAAAUCUUUGUUUAAAAAUAUAAAAAUCAAAUUCUAACAGUUAAAAUAUUCAAAAUAUCCAUAGUACCGCUCGAAAUUUUUUGAGACAUUAAAUGCAAUCCCUCCAAGAAAUCAUCUCAAAUUUUUUUGAGACAUUAAAUGCGAUCUCUCCAAGAAAUUAUUAGAUUAUACCGUAGUACCAUCUCAGCCGUGGUAGUUUCAUCCAAAGGCUAGCCUUUACAAUAUGAGCUAGCCAGCCUUCAUGCACACAGUGCCUGCCAAUCAUGUAAAACCAUUGACAAUGAUACAUGACAAUUUAUUUGGACCUAUAACUUCAUUUCAUAACUACAUCAGAUAACCGUUUAUGUGCAACUAUAUUUUAUUCAAUUUCAAAAAUUAGCAUAUGCAAUGACAUGUUUUAUCGUAAAAAGUACAAGAAAUUUUCAACGUAUCACAAAUACAAAGUGUUAUACCACAUGUCAUUAUAUAAAGAGAAAUUUUUUAUAUUUUAAGUCUGUCUCCACUUAUAUAAUAUGUGUUGUACCAUCCGAAUUCCGGAUCAGUAAAAGAUCUCUCCAAAAAUACAUAUGCAUGUUUUAUUCAAAAGGUUAGGAAUGAUGCGUCAUCAUCCCUAACGCACUUUAUUAUAAGUAGUAUCAUCCAUUGAGGCAGAGAAGUUAAUUAGAUGCUGUCCUUAAUGGAUGCACUAUAGCCGUUGACAAUGUCAUACUGCCUGCCCCAGAGCAUAAUUCCUCCGUACUUGGGCGAUUUCUUAAUCGUUGGAAGAACUUGUGACUUGAGAGCGUCAGCAGGAAUAAAUCCGCCGCCCGGAGCGGCCUCAGGAGCUGCCGGUAUACCCAAGAACACCUGGGUGGCCGGAACCGAGGCCCAUUGGUUCCAACUGCUCAAAAGAGCGUCGGCAUUACCGUCUGCAUACUGGCAUGGGGGGUUGUUGUAGAACUGAACCCAAACGUAGUCAAAUAAACCGGUUUGGAUAGCGCCGUCUAGGUGAGCAUCCGGGAUCGGACAUUGUGGAGCUGCGGCUAAAUAGACCGUUUUUGCCUGUCCGUUGUGUCCGUUGAGUGACCUGGCGAGCUCAUCAUAGAACUGCGCACCACCCGCCUCAAUGUCGAAAUCAACGCCGUCCAAAACCGCGUCCCCAAGCGGGCGCGAAGCGGACUGACCACCUAAGAAGUUGUUCCAGAUGUAAUCAGCAACUUGCCUUGCAUCAUCAGCUGAAGUGAGAGAGUAACUUCCGGCGGCCCCUCCAAUCGAGAGGAGGACUUUUAUGUUUUUUGAUUGGCAGGUUCUGAUGUCGGCACUCAGCCCCGUGCAAGUACCACUAGAGGGGUCGCAGUGGCCGGCGAGGUUUAGGACAGGGGUUUGGUUGUUUCCGAAAGUAGUGAGGAAAGCUAUGUUAACAAACUGGUAGUUGCCUGAGUUGCAAGCAUCUGCUAGGGUUCCUUCAUUGCCGUUUUGGCCCCAAUACGUCGCGAUUCCGGCGGCUUGGGAGGACUUGCAUGAAGAAAUGAGGAUCAAGAGGGACAGCGUUAGGGCUAGGGUUUGUGUUUUGGAUGCCAUUUUUGUAUGUUUUUUUGGGUUGUUGUUCAAAGUGCUUGGGAGUGGACUUGUACUUAUAGGUGCAGGGGACUUAUCCGUUAAGGUUUAGGGGAAGAAAAGUAUGACAGACGUGUUCUGCGGGUUAGAAAUGGGUGCCAGUCUUCAGCUUGGAACCUCGUCAAUCAAGUUAGCUAGGGCCUGUUUAGUCCAAGAAGUUUCACAUAAAACGCCGAUUAAGUUAGGUCGGGUUGGAAAUGCUUUCUUCAAAAACUACUUACACACGUAAGCGCUUCUUAUAUUUUUCAUAAGAAUGCAAGUGCUUUUGAAAAAAAACACUUGAGCUGUUUCGUGUGUUUUUUUCAGAAAAUACUUUAAAUGUUUUUUCAAACUAAAAAUCCAUUAAAGCUCCUUUACUUGUUUAAGGGCACUUCCAAAAUCAUAUUUAAAGAAAAAUUACUUCUAGAGAGAAUUAUAACAUGCUAAUUGAGAGAUCCCGAAACUAGAAACUAGAUAGUUAUAAUGAAGCGUGACCUUAACUGCUUAAUUAAGUGAAAAAAGCCAUCAAAUUUGACAAAAAGUCUGAUGAAAGGUCAUAGCUGUAUCAUCUGUAGAUGAGAUAAUCAUGAAACAAUGUGGGGAAUCAACACAUCCUUAUCAUCGUCAAAAAAAAAAAUUCACUGUGCUGGAAGCACGUUCAAUUGAACGUUUUGGAAGUUUGUGGAUAGAAACCAAAUGGAAUAUGCUUGUAACCAAAAUUGCUGGCUGCUAUAUACAUCUUGGAUUUUAGCUGAGGUGGCCAUUGGCCAAGGACUUUGGUCUAAUCACGAUGCUUUAAUUUCGCAAUCCAAAAAAAAAAUUCAGAUAAAAUUUAGAACACGUUUUGGGAGUGCUUUCAAAUUACUGAAAGCGAUUUUAGAAAGAAAAAAAAUGUUUAUAUAACUAAUCUUUAAUAAAAAUGCAAGUUAAUCCUCCAAAAGUACUGAAACUAGUGCUUCUUUGAUAAAACACUUCAAGUGCUUUUGGAGCUCAAAAAUAUUAUCUCAAGUGGUUUCAGUCAUUUAAAAACACUUUCUAAACGAGUUAAUGACUCGUGUAUGGGGCAACAUUUAGCAAGUAACGGCUCUCAUGAAUUGGAUUGUGGUGAUGUGAAAAUGGGUUUGGGUAAGUUUAGUUUAGACCAGUCAGCAGUGUUUAAAAUAUCCACGACAUUAUCGAUAUUUUCGUUGAAAUAUCCUUAAAAUUAAGGGUCCAUAAGCAAAAGAAGGAUGAAAUGCAAACUUCACCCUAUAUCGGCAAGAUACAAGAAAACAAUGAAUAUAGACAAUAUGUAACAACUCGUCCCAAGAUUUACUGUAUAUAAAUGGUAUUUUUGUAUUUUCAUCAAGUUUGGGAAUUUAUCUUCCUUUUAAAAUUUGUUUUUGGUCUUAAAUGGUGAUCCAAGGGGACCCACUCCCCUGAUUUUGUCCCCGAGCCCUCUUCUCUCUUUCUUCCUCUCCUCUUCCCUUUCCCCUUUCCCGUAUACUUCUAUUCCUCUCUUCUCUAUGAUCACACUCACACCCAGCUGCACUCCCUGCUCGAGGAAGACGCAAUCACCAUCUAAACCACGUCCCUUUCCUCUUCCUCUUGCCUCUGUGCAACUCGGCGAAACCAAGAAAAUAACCUCCGGCAAGUCCGACGGCUUUCGAAGCCAUUUCCUGCCAAACCACGGCGCGUUGGCCGGCGUGCAAGGUAUCAAUCUCUUCGUCCCGUCAAGUACUAUAACUUUUCUUUUUGUUUCACUCAAUUUAAUUGAGUAUUGAAGAAGUUAUACUCAUUUGAAUCUUACCCAGUUUCCGGCGACCUCCGAGGCUUUCGAGGAAAUUUCAGGCCAAACCAUGGCGAGUCAGACGUGAGGUAUCAUUCUCUUCGUCUCUUCCAGGACUACAACUUUCGUUUUUGUCUCGCUUGAUUUCGUUGAGUAGUGACAAAGUUAUGGCUGUUUAAAGUGGGGUGGUUUUCCGGCCGAAUUUCCGGCCUUCUUCUUCCUUGGCAACAGGCCACCCGGCCUUUCCCUCUCCCUCGGACCUUAGGCCCGUGUUGUCUUAAGCCCAAAACCCUAGCCUUUAGUUUUAAGUUUUAUUAUUUGGUUUUAAAACCCUAAAAAGGGCCUUGGGCCGGUGGUUUUUAAAAAGGGCUUAAAGCCCUGUUUUUCUUUAUUUAUUUUUAUUAAGGCCUUAAGGCCUUGUGAUUUUGUGCCCGUGGGUGUGUGUGUUAGGUGUGUAUGUGUUUAUGCAUGCACAUGCAUGCCGUGUGUGUGUGUGUAUUUGUAGUAUGUGUGUGUUUGGGCUAAAGCCCAAACCCCAAUUCUCACCCUAAAACCAUUUUAACCCAAAAUCCUAGGUUCCUAAAAUCCUUUAAAACCCUAAACCCAUCCAAUCCCAAAUCCCCUAUUUUAUUUAAACCUAAACCCUAAUCCGGAUUUCAAGCCUAAAACCCAUUUGACCGUUGACCCCCGGUCAACGUUGAUUUUAGGGUUGACUUUUCGGGUUUUCGUCCGGGACCCUUCUUAGGGUAAUUCGACGUUCUAAAUCCGUUUCCAAUGUCCAUUUUCCCAAAUUCAAUUGUUAUUAUAUAGUUUUAUUUAUUGGACUCUUUAUGUGCUUAGGGGCAAUUAUUGUGACGUUUCCAUCUUCGCUAGUGGCACAGCUUUUGGCAACUAAGUAUUGUGAGUGGACCCCUUCUAGAAUUACAUGAUUUGAUAAUUUAAUUGCAUAAAUGAUUAGCAUGCCUACGAAUUUAUGAUUUGAUUUAUGUGAAGCCUGAUGAUUUAAUAUAUUGAUUAUCGUCUCGGGUUUUGGUGAGGAAUUAUUUGUUAGCCUAUAUUGAGCUAUAUUUUAAUAUAUCGUAUUUUCUAUUAAAACCAUGAACUGGUAGACUAUCUGAUAGAUGACGAUAGGAUGCUAGAACAUGUUUUUGAACCCCUCUUUAUAGUGUAGACGAUGAUCGGUAACCUAUGCUAUGAAGUGGUUUUUUUUAGAGAGACGUAACUAUUUGUGCGUACCUAGUAGACACUAUGCCGCCUGGGGCAAGGAACUGGUGUUGGCAUUUAGGCCGGGAGAAAUAAUCCCUAGCGAAAGGCUGAGGGACACGGAGACAGGCAGUGGGCCAAGAGGGAGUUAUCUCUGGCUACGGGCACAGAGACUGAGGUGCAAGCAUUGGGCCGGGAGUUAUAUUUAUUCAGUGAUCUUUCUAGCAGCACACUGCGUUUACGAGACGAUUUAUGAUGCGUUUACUGUUUUGAUUUCCGCGAUGUUUUUCCGCGUUAUGGCGUUUGAGAUAUUUUUGGCAUACUAGGAUUUUUAUUAAAUCCAUCACUUAUUAUGCUAGUAGUUUUCAUUUAUAUAAACUUUGGGGGUUAGUAUGUUGAUAAUUGUUUUAUUAUUAUUGUAUAUAUAAACUUGGUCCACUCACCUUUGUUUUGCGCCCCCAUUCAGGACUUAGAAUCAAGGCACCUAAUCCCGGCGUGAAGACACUUUCGCAGCAGCAUCUUCGGAUCCUCUCGAUGUAGGACUCACUCCUUUACUCAUUAAAUUUUAUCUUAAUUCUUUUUAGUGAUUAGAUUUAGUUGUAUGCUCUGAGCACGUUCCUAAAACUUUUAACUCUUAGUUUUUAAAUUCAUAACACUUACUUAUUUCUUAUUCUUAGCUUUUGUAUCAAUUAAUGGCUUUCGUCACCCUCGGGUGUCGGCCAGCAUGUGUCUUCCUGGUAUUCGGGGAAUAUCAGGGUCGGGGCGUGUCACAAUAUUUACGGAUUAAUUACAAAAUUUUGCUAAUACCUAUUGCAGAUUUCGAACUGUAGAAUUUUUUUUAUAAAUUUUUUCUUUAAUUUCAACUAAAUCUGAAUGAGUACUUACCCCAUUGUAAAUUUCCAUCGAAGACUUUCCAACUAUAUCGAUAUUUUAAACACUGGUUUAGACCAACAUGUUUAAUAUCCAGUGCAUGCAAAUAGAAUGUCAAAUCUUUUUGAAAAACUUCAGUAUGACUGCCACUUAAGGGCAACUAGCAUAUUAAAGAGACCAAUGCAAAGUUGGAUGAGACUAAAAUACAUAAAGUCUCAUGUUUUGGUGAGAUGUGGUUUACAAAUGAUAUAGCAUGUGCCCUACGAAAAACGAGAUCGGAUUACCUAAUUGAAGUUUCUCUAGCAUGAAAAAUUCAAGAGGGAUGUGACGGUUCCGGAAAGUAAAAAAUCACACAUUUUUAUUAAUAAUUUUUUUGUUCGAAUUCGGAAAUGUAUAGAACUGAACAAAUGGAAUAGUGGCUCAGUGAUACCAACAAUUUCAUGUUGCAAAUUACAAAAAAAAAAAAAAAAAAAAAAAAAAAAGGAAAUGUUUUACACAAAAUUAAUGACAAUUAGAGUUAAACAACAGAAACUUGCACUUUAAAUGGUUUUUUUCUGCUGCUUUUGGUAUGUAUAUGCUUUUUCCGCACCGCUGGCUACUGUAUUCUCGGUAAUUUUCAUCGUCAUCCCAGCUGCGUUGCGAGCAUGAACGUUUGAUUCCUGUCAUUGGGGUUUCACAUACUCUGUCAUCACAUGAACCUCCAUGAUCCUUCCUUUUAAACAGCUUUCGAAGUGGAUUUGACUUUGGUUUCAAUGGUUUCAGCUGUUUUGGGGCCCAAAUUCUCUGCAGAUCGGGCAUCCAUCUUGUGGAGUAAGCGAACCUCCGAGCCCUCUCUCUCCUCUCUUGAACUUCAAGUAACUUGCGAGCAUGGUCGUCCUUUUGUUUGAUCUCUUCAGCGCUCGGUCUUCCAAUAUCAGUUUUCAGCGGACGAAGAGACUCACCUACUGCUGGUAAUGAAUCCCAGAUUCUAUAACUUCCAUCCACUUCGACACUCUUCGGUUUUUCUUUACAGGAUCGAUUGCUAUCCUAACUGUUGAGUAAACUAUUAGGGAGUUCUUCCUCAUCAGCAAACAGCAACAAAUCCAUUUUCUUAUAGAUUUUGCGAACCACAUCUUCAAGUGUCUCACAGUACCUGAAAAAUUCCAAAUUCAAAGAUUAAUCUAUCUGCUUAAGUUAAUUUUCCAUCUCAAACAAAAAUUGAUUGCCCGCACAUGUACUUCCGGAAAACUAAUUCCAGGAACGGAUUAUUUAAGCAACAUCGUUUCUUCAAGGAUCAUACUGUAGACAUACACUAUUGGCACAUUGCAAAAGUUGUAUAAACAUAUUCCACACUCGUUCAGAAAAACAUGGGUACGAUGUGCGCAUAACUGGCCUAUAUCCUGUCAAUCUACACUGAUAAGGAAAGACACUUUAACUCAUCUAAGAUUAUAAAGACAACCACUUUCCUUAUUUAGCAUUGUUGCAAAGGUAAGUAGGACAUGAUUUGUUAGAUAGGUAGUAAUAUCCCACAUGAAAGUGGAACACAGUGGCACCGGAAAUGUGUAUUUGUUGAGACAUGAACGAUAGACUGAAUGCAGCGUGUGCUAUAUAGCCUUUCAGCGAAAGCCAUAAUGCCUCAGUAAAACAUCCAUUAUAUAAAGUAAAGAAUAAUUUCAAGGGUAGGGGUUUUCAACUGUGGUACAGAUUUAUUACCUGCUUUUUAUGAUCUUUUCAACAUAAUCAUACACUCCAGUCACCAAAGAAGCCCUCCAGAUGACAUCGAAUUUUCUCCAAAAAGGAGCAAAUCUGUUUUACAGACUUCUGUUUUGUAGAUUCAGCAAUACGUGCACCAACCUCUGAUUGUAGUAUCUCCAUCCGGAAAAAUAUCUGCAAUUCAUAUCGUGCACGAGCUGGCGCAAGGAGGCGGCGAAGCACGAAGCCCGGGGCGGCGAUGCCGGGUCGAGGCGAAAUGCGGGGAGGGAAUUGAGGGUUUGGGAGAGGGAAUUGAAAGUGGGGCCGGGGAGGUGGAAAGAGAGGGAGAGAGAAGUGGGGAGCUUGGAGGAGGAGAGCAGCGGAGAGAGGGAGGAGAAGAAGGGUCUGAAGGCGAAGAGAGAGGCGGAGAGAGGAGGGAAAGAGAGGAUGGUUUUGACGGCGGCGAGGAAGGCUGUGAGAAAUGGAGCUGGGUUUUGGAGGUGGAGGAGUGGGUUGAGGCCUAGGAGGAGGACGAUGCGCUGCGUUUUGCCGUAGUCGGCGAUUGGGUCGCCGGAGCUCCGUUCAGAUGCCAUCGCAUUUGCAGGAGGAGAAAGAGACGGACUUGGGUUGCAGAGAAGGGAGAUGCAAAUGUGGAAUUAAGGAACAGUAAACCGAAUACGCAGUCGUUUUAGUAGAAAAACGACGAUACGGUAGAUGCUUGAGCGGGAAACCAAAUUUUGGCUGUAAAGGAAAUGUUUUAGGCCCCGUUUGGGAUUGAGGUGAUUUUAAAAAAAGCCACUGUGAAAAAAAGCUGAGGGUCAUUUUUGUGUUUGGUAAACUGAAAAAAGGGCUUAUUUUGGAAGCUGCUGUGAAAAUAAGCUGAAAAUCAAAGGAAAAGCUGAAGCUGCUAUUUGCUGCUUUGAAAAAAAGCCAGUUUUUUCAAAGCACACAGAGCUACAAUGCUCCUUUAAUGAAAAGACACACUAUCAUCCUGAUUUUUUUUCCAAAAGCACUUUCACAAAAAAGUUUACCAAACACUCUACUGCUUUAUUUCACAGCCGCUUAUUCUCACAGCACAGCCGCUUAUUCUCACAGCAGCUUUUUUUCAAAGCACAGCAAUACCAAACCAGCCCUUAAUCUCAUGAAGGACCUGUUUGGACUGCAUCUAAAUUUGUUAAAAGCGCUUUUAGAGAACAAAAGAGCUUUUGACAUCAGUUGAAAAAAAAAAAAUAUUUAAAGUACUUCUUCACGUGAAAAAAACACAUGGUUUUUAAUGAAAAUUCCAACAUGAUUUGAAUGAAAGUGCUUUCAAAAAGUAUUAUGAAUAGAUAUGCUUUUUUAUAUGCUUCUAUGAAAAGUGCUUUUUGCAAACAAUGUCGGGCUCGUUUGUAAUUACUUUUAAAAUGGUUGAAAGUGUAUUUCGUAAAAAUAUUUUUAGAAACAAUAUUUAGUAAAAUGCAAGUGAAUCCUAAAAAAAACACUUCAAGAAUAGAACAACCAAAGGGGCGAAAACUGUAAACCUCAUAGCAACCGAAUUACAAUUCGAGAACAUACCCGUUACUGAAUCCCAAAUCGCUGGUUCCCAAGUGUAGUCAUGCACAAGCUCGUUUAGAACCAAUAUUUUCUCUAAGAACGAUUUCAAUCAUUUGAAAAACAUUUUUAAACGAACUGAUGUUUUUAGGAGAAACACAAUGAGGAGCAAAUGAUUCCUAGGCGAGAAGAAAAACUAGACAGAAUGUUAAAUAGCACAUUAUGUACCAAUUUUUCUUCAACAAAUUGGAACUACUGAGAAGUUUGGAAACUAAAAAGUAAAGAUUGAUUCUAAGGAUUCUAACCCUGAUGAUUGCUUAUACAGUCGAACUACUUGAAUAGACUGGACUACCGAAGAUAAACUCAUACAUAUACGAAUUAUUAAAAAGUGAAAGAGGCUCAUCUCAGUUUUUUUUUUUUUUUUUAGUUGAAAGAAAAAAAAGGUAAAACAUGGAGAAGAUCAUGAACAGUAAUGGGUUUUAGUAUAUAUAAAUAUAAUUUGUAACUGUAUCUGUCCAAAUAUGCCGUGCAAGUUCUAUUCAUUAGCAGGUACUUUGAUUGCCAUGCAGUAAGAGCAUACAACGGAGAUUGGCUUUGUAUCAAGGCGUACGUCCCAUACACCUCUUUUAUGGGUGAUGCUGUCCACACACUUCUUUUAAUUACCAGUCGUCAUAUAGAAUGAAUUCAAGAGGAUCAAAUGACUAAAAUUAACAGAGAAUAUGUAAAAGAUAAACCAGAGUGUAUGGAUAACACCACCCUAUCUUAUUAGGAUAAUAACAUCCGAUGUGUUUGAUAUAAUCUUUUAGGGACUAACCAAAACAUUGAGUUACAAAAGUCAAACACUUCCGAUGAUGGAAGAACUAUAUCCACUUCUAUCGUCACAAAACUUGGACAAUAACAUCACACCACCAUACUUUGACGACUUCUUUAUCACCGGCAGAAUUUCCGAAUUCAACAAAGCAGCCGGAACAUACCCACUCUUGGCCGCCUUAGGAGCCGCCAGCAACCCCAAAAACAUCUUCCCUGUCUAAUACAAUGAUGUCACUUGGCGUCUUAACAAGAUGGGAGACUUUGGAGGGACUUUAUUGAGUACUCCAGAGUACUCAGUACUCUCAUUUGUUUAAAAAUAUAAAAAUCAAAAUCUAACGAUUAAAACAUCUAGAGUAUCCAUAUAUAGUACUGCUCAAAACUUUUUGAGACAUUGGACGUGAUCCCUCCUAGAAAUUAUUAAGUUAUACAGUAGUACACUUCAGCCGUGAUACUUUCAUUCAAAGGCUAGCUUUAUACUAAUAUGUGAUACUUUCAUUCCAUAUUUGAGAGCCAUUGGAUAAGUAUAAAGCUAACCUUUACAAUAUGAGCUAGUUAGUUAGCCUUCACACACACAGUGCCUGCCUAUCAUGUAACCAUUGACAAUGAUACCCGACAAUUUAUUUGGAGAGAGGGUCCUCACUCAUUUAUUUGGACCUAUAACUUCAUUUCAUAAUAACUCCAUCACAUCAUUUUAUGUACCAUAGUUUAUUCAAUUUCAAAAAUUAGUACACGCAAUAACAUGUUUUAUCGUAAAAUAUACGAGGUUUUUUAGUAUAUUAGAAAUACGAGAUGAUGCACCACAUGUCAUUAUAUAAAUGAAGAGAAAUUUUUUUUUUUUUUAAAUGUGCCUCCACUUAUAUAAUGUAUUGUACCACCCAAAUUCUGAAUAAGUGAAAGAUCUCUCCAAAAAAUACAUAUGCAUGUUUUAUUCAAAAGGUAAGGAAUGAUGCGUCAUCAUCCCUAACACACUUUAUUAUAGUAGUAGCAUCAAUUGAGGCAGAGAAGUUAAUUAGAUGCUGUCCUUAAUGGAUGCACUAUAACCGUUGUCAUAGAACCUGCUCCAAAGCAUAACUCCUCCGUACUUGGGCGAAUUCUUAAUCGUUGGAAGAACUUGUGACUUGAGAGCGUCAGCAGGAAUAAAUCCGCCGCUUGGAGCGGCCUCAGGAGCUGCCGGUAACCCCAUGAACACCUGGGUGGCCGGAACCGAGGCCCAUUGGUUCCAACUGCUUAAAAGAGCGUCGGCAUUACCGUCUGCAUACUGGCAUGGGGGGUUGUUGUAGAACUGAACCCAAACGUAGUCAAAUAAACCGGUUUGGAUAGCGGCGUCCAGGUGAGCAUCCGGGAUCGGACAUUGUGGAGCUGCGGCUAAAUAGACCGUUUUUGCCUGUGCGUUGUGUCCGUUGAGUGACCUGGCGAGCUCAUCAUAGAACUGCGCACCACCCGCCUCAAUGUCGAAAUCAACGCCGUCCAAAACCGCGUCCCCAAGCGGGCGCGAAGCGGACUGACCACCUAAGAAGUUGUUCCAGAUGUAAUCAGCAACUUGCCUUGCAUCAUCAGCUGAAGUGAGAGAGUAACUUCCGGCGCCCCCUCCAAUCGAGAGGAGGACUUUUAUGUUUUUUGAUUGGCAGGUUCUGAUGUCAGCACUCAGCCCCGUGCAAGUACCACUAGGGGGGUCGCAGUGGCCGGCGAGGUUUAGGACAGGGGUUUGGUUGUUUCCGAAAGUAGUGAGGAAAGCUAUGUUAACAAACUGGUAGUUGCCUGAGUUGCAAGCAUCUGCUAGGGUUCCUUCGUUGCCGUUUUGGCCCCAAUAGAUCGCAAUUCCGGCGGCUUGGGAGGACUUGCAUGAAGAAAUGAGGAUCAAGAGGGACAGAGUUAGGGUUAGGGUUUGUGUUUUGGAUGCCAUUUUUGUAUGUGUUUUUUUGGGUUGUUGCUCAAAGUGCUUGGGAGGGGACAUGUACUUAUAGGUGGAGACUUACUGGUUAAGGUUUAGGGGAAGAAAAAUAUGACACACGAGUUCUGCUUGUAAGAAAUGGAUGCCAGUCUUCUGCUUGUCAAUCAAGUUAGCUAGGGCCUGUUUGGUCGAAGUUUCACAUGAAACGUCGAUUAAGUUAGGUCGGGUUGGAAAUGCUUUCUUCAAAAACCACUUACACACGUAAGCUCUUCUUAUAUUUUUCAUAAUAAUGCAAGUGCUUUUGGAAAAAACACGAGAGGUGUUUCGCAUGUGUUUUUUUCAAAAAGCACUUCAAAUAUUUUUUCUACCUAAAAAUCCAUUAAAGCUCCUUUACUUGUUUUAAAGAAACUUCCAAAAUAAUAUUUAAAGAAAAAUUACUUCUAGAGAGAAUUAUAACAUGCUAAUUGAGAGAUCCCGAAACUAGAAACUAGAUGGUUAUAGUGAAGCGUGACCUUAACUGCUUAAUUAGGUGAAAAAAGCCAUCAAAUUUGACAAAAAGUCUGAUGAAAGGUCAUAGCUGUAUGCAUAAUCCGUAGAUGAGAUAAUCAUGAAACAAUACGUGGGGAAUCAACACAGCCUUAUCAUCGUCAAAAAAUUUUAGUGUUCUAGAAACACGAUCUGAUAUACAAAAUGUUUUAACAUCAAUUGAACGUUUUGGAAAUUUGUGGAUAGAAACCAAAUGGAAUAUGCUUGCUAGCUGCUAUAUACAUCUUGGAUUUUAGCUGAGGUGGCCAUUGGCCAAGGACUGCGAUCUAAUCACGAUGCUUUAAUUUCGCAGUACGAAAAAAAUUUCAGAUAAAAUUUAGAACAUGUUUAGGGAGUGCUUUCAAAUCACUGAAAGCGAUUUUAGAAAGAAAAAAAAUGUUUAUACAACUAAUUUUUAAUAAAAAUGCAAGUUAAUUCUCUAAAAGUAUUGAAAUUAGUGCUUCUUUGAUGAAUUACUUUAAGUGCUUUUGGAGCUCAAAAAUAUUUUCUCAAGUGGUUUCAGUUAUUUAAAAACACUUUCUAAACGAGUUAAUGACUCGUGUAUGGCAACAUUUAGCAAGUAAUAGCUCUCAUGAAUUGGAUUGUGGUGAUGUGAAAAUGGGUUUGGGUAAGUUUAGUUUAGAUCAGUCACCAGUGUAUAAAAUAUCCAUGAAAUUGUCGAUAUUUUCAUCAAAAUAUCCUUAAAAUUUAGGGUCCAUAAGGAAAAGAAGGGUAAAAUAUAAAUUUCAACCUAUAUUGGCGAGAUAUAAGAAAACAAUGAAUAUCGACAAUAUUUACCAAUUAACUACAAAAUGUUGCUAAAACCUAUUGCAGAUUUUGAACUUUAGAAUUUUUUUUUUAUAAAUUUUUUCUUUAAUUUCGACUAAAUCUGAAUGAGUUGAUACUUGAUAUGCUUAUCCCAUUGUAAAUUUCCAUCAAAGACUUUCCAACUAAAUCGAUAUUUUAAACAUUGGUUUAGACCCACAUGUUUAAUAUCCAGUGCAUGCAAAUAGAAUGUCAAAUCUUUCAGAAAAACUUCAGUAGGACUGCCACUUAAGGGCAACUAGCAUAUUAAAGAGACCAAUGCAAGGUUGGAUGAGACUAAAAUACAUAAGAGCAAUUCCACCGGGGACCAAAUGUCCCAGCCUCCAGUCCAAAAACCAAGCCAGGCCUCUGUCAAUCAAGUCCACCCCAACAAACUGACUGGUACCCAGCCCGAGUUGGGCAAGAGCCCAGCCCAAAAGAGACUGAGACAGAAGCCGGGGAAGAAGCCUGGCGCGUGCACUUCACGUAGCCGUUUGGCGAGUGCCCGACAAGCUUUCAGACGCCGGGGCCCGCGUGCAGGCGCUGUCAGUCCCCCCCCCGAGUUGCGACGUGGCUACCUCUCUGCCGUUGGAUUUCCAACGGCUAGUUUUCUAGACCGUUGGAUUUCCAACGGUAAAAAAAUUUUAAAUUUUACUUUUAAACUAGACCGUCGGAUCAAAGAUCAACGGUCCACGUUUUUUUCACAAAAAGUAAAUUAAAAAAAAAAAAAAAGGGCCCAACGGUCAGAAAUAUGACCGUUGGCCACGUGGCAACUCCCUAGCUCUUGGAUUUGAAUAUUUUUCAAAUCCAACGGUCCAGAUUAAUUAACUAUAUUAAAAUUCAUUAAAAAUUAUUAAAAAAUACAGAAAAAUUAUUAAAAAAUACAGAAAAUUUUAAAAAAAUUACAGAAAAUUUUGAAAAAUGUUAAUUUUUUUUCCUAUAAAUACCUAACCCUCAUCUUCUACCUUUACACCACAUUCCAAUAUUUUCUACACUUUCUAUACUAUCUACAUUUCAAAAUAUUUUCUACACUUUAAGAGAAAAAAAAUGUCUUCGUGGAAGCUCAUUGAAGAUGUUACGUUGUGUGAAUGUUGGGUUCACACUACUCAUGAUCCGAUUACGGGUAAUGAGAUGGAUAAGCGAGAGAUGUGGAGUAAAAUUACGAAAGCGUUUUGUGAUGUACAUGGAGAAAACGCCAGAACUAGUCAAGGUCUUCAAGGUCGUUGGAAAAAACUCAAUGCAUCAUUUACUUGUUGGAAAAACGCCAUCUCUCAUGCUUCCGGUAACCUCCGUAGUGGGACAAGUUUAGCGGAUCAGGUGACAAUAUUUUUUAUUUAUUUAUAUGCAUUCCACUCACAUUAAUAUUUUGAUUUAUUUAAUUUCGUAUGUAAUUUUUAUCUUAUUUCUUAUGUAAUUUUUAUUUAAUUUCUUAUGUAAUUUUUAUUUAAUUUCUUAUGUCAUUUUUAUGUAAUUUAUAUGCAUUCCACCCGUAUUAAUAUUUUGAAUUUAUUUAUUUGUGUUACACCCGCAUUUUUUAACACUAUGUUAUCCCACUUUUUUAUAGACACUACAAGCUCAAGCAUUCUACAAUUCAAAGAACGGGAACAAAUCAUUCAAUAGAUUGGAAUGUUGGCAAAUUGUCAAAGAUUGCCCUAAAUACAAAAUUGUGGCAACUGGUCCAGAAGUUGUCAUGCACGGUAUGGGUCUACAUAGUUCUCCAGAACCAGACAUGGCCGAACAAGAAGCCGACACAUUUCAAGACACGGAAGGGACGGCUGAACAAGUGCCCGAGACCCAACCGACUCGUCAGUCCCUAAGGCCUCUAGGUAAAAAGGCGUCAAAGAAAAAAGGUAGUUCUUCCAAAAAAUGACUACACUAAAUAUAUGGAGGAACUUGCUCGCCAAGGUGAACUAAACUUGGCACGAGAAAAGGCUAGAGAUGAGGAAAAAGUUGCUGCUAUGGCAGCAAUAUUAGCAGCUACUGAGGCCCGUGAUGCGGCGGCUGAAAGACAAAGAGAAGUAGUUAAUCGAGAGAACGAGCUGGUUAGAGAAGCACUUCAUCGAGAAAAUGAAUUGCUUCGAGAAGAAAGGAUGGCUCAAGCAUCGUGAUCGUGACACUAUGAGCAAGUCUCUAGUAGGACUGUCUCCGAAUUCUAAAUAUUUUUUAGACAUCGGAAAAAGAGAUGCCAUGCGUAGGAGGCGUGCAAGAGAUGCGGAAACAAGUCAAGGGGGUUCUAGCUACACAAAUCAUGGCAACCAAGAUCCUAGCACCACAUAUCCUAACUCGAGAGACUUUAUUUAAUUUCUUAUGUAUUUUUAUGUAUUUUCUUUCUUUUUUCUAGUAGAACUUUAUUUAAUUUCUUAUGUUUUUUCUUUUUUUUAGGUUUGAACUUUAUUUAUUUUCUUAUGCAAUUUUAAUGUAAUUAUUUAUUUAAUUUCUUUUGUACUUUAUUUAAAACACAUGAAAUAAGAUUACACAUAAACUCACCAAAUAAAUUUAAAAACAAAACACAUUACAUAGAAUUACAUAAACUCACCAAAUAAACUUAAAAACAAAACACACUACAUAGAAUUACAUAAACUCACCAAAUAAACUUAAAAACAAAACACACUACAUAGAAUUACUUAAACUUAAAAAAAAAUACAAUUUAUUCUUCAACCACAAGCCUCAUUCUAAUUAUCUUCGCCUCCAUGCAAUCCCCACUGGUGCUCAAUCAAGUCAUUCUGGCGGGUUACGUGCCAGUAUGGCUCUUGCACAUUAGUGUACCGCUGAACGAUCAAUUCAUUGUAACGUCCAUCACGUUCCAACGGCUCGUGUUGCACUGGAUCUUCGGUCCCAUCAUGAGCACAAUAAAUACGUGUUCUUGAGUUGUUCAUCGGAUCUGGCUCAUAUUCAUCGACGGCAUCAUAAUCAUACUCAUCUUCAACAAUCAUGUUAUGGAGAAUAAUACACGUCAUCAUGAUGGAUCGAAGAGCCUCGACAUCAAACAUUCUAGCUGCAGCCCUGACAAUCGCCCAACGAGCUUGCAGGAUACCAAAACAACGCUCGACAUCCUUCCUACACCCUUCUUGACAUUUUGCAAAGUGUUUUUCCUUUUCAGUCUGUGGAUGUGGCACUGUUUUGACAAAUGUUGACCACCUUGGGUAAAUGCCAUCUGCAAGGUAGUAUGAUCCCUCGUAUUGGGUACCAUUAACCCAAUAUGUGCAUCUCGGCGAGUUUCCUUGCAGCAGUUCGUCGAACACUGGGGAUUGGGCAAGGACAUUUAGGUCAUUUUGAGCUCCUGGAACACCAAAAAAAGCAUGCCAAAUCCAUGUAUCAAAUGAAGCCACCGCUUCCAAAAUGAUGCUUUUGGCUCCUUUUCUGUCGCCAUAUGCUCCUUGCCACGCACUUGGACAGUUUUUUCCAAGUCCAGUGCAUGCAGUCGAUGCUUCCAAUCAUGCCAGGGAAGCCUCGCAUCUCACCCUUCCUCAGAAGCCUUCGCAUGUCCCUUGACGUGGGUGUCCGGAGGUACUCUUUGGUGUAGAGGGCUUCAAUUGCAGAGCAAAACCGCAUCAGGGACUCCAGAACAGUUGUUUUUCCCAUCCUCGCGAUCUCAUCCACUUGAUCUGCAGAUGCUCCAUAUGCAAGCAUUCGCAAGGAUGCCGUAAUUUUUUGCUCGGGAAUAAGACCUAGAACAUGAAAAGCAUCCUCUUUUUGCACAAAGUAUGAAUCAUUGUUGCAAAUAUCACUCAUGAUUUUGUUGAACAAAUGUCGUUGCAUUCUAAAACGCCGUCUAAACAUGAUCAGGGAAUAUGCUAUUGGGAAUAAAAUAGUCUUCCAAUAGAUUUUUACCUCGUUUUUCCCUUUUUCUAUCGAGGUUUGCAACACGUCUUGGUUUGGCUAUCUGACCCACGGCUUCCAUGACACGGCGGGAAUGUGAGGCCUUCUGCCUUCUAUGGUGAUCAUCCUCAUCCUCCUCCAUGAAGAAAGCCUCAUCUCCACCUCCACCUUCCUCGAGAUUGGCCAAUUCUGCCUGUUGUGCCAACAACCUUUGUUGUUGCUCUUGCAACUGCUUAUACACCCUUCUUGAAGAAGACAUUGUAAUAAGAACUCAAGAUUUGAAAAUGAUGAACAAGGAUUCUGAGCUAAAAAGAAGGAUUGAGCUUGGUGUGAGGAUGGAUGUAGGGAUGUAGGGUUUAUAUGGACAAAAAAAGAAAGGAUGAGGUUCUGGACAAUGCCACGUGGCACUACGUGAUUGGUUGAAAAUCUUAUCGAAAUCUUGGCUAAAUUAUUGUAAACCGGAAGUGACACGUGGCGUGUCAGGAUUGGUCGAGAAUAUUAUCGAAAAUCUAUCCACAAAAUAGUACGUUCGGAUAAUGACACGUGGCAUGACGUGAUUGGUUGAAAAUCUUAUCGAAAUCUUGGCUAAAUUAUUGUACCAUGGAAGUGACACGUGGCGUGUCGGGAUUGGUUGAAAAUAAUAUCGGAAAUCUAUUCACAAAAUAGUACGUUCAGAUAAUGACACGUGGCGUGACGAGAUUGGUUAAAAAUCCUAUCCGAAAUUAAAACUAUUUUAUUUUUUUAUUCUUUAUUUUAAAUGGGUUAAAAAUCUUAUCCGAAAUAAACUUAAAAAAAAAACACACCAAAUAAAUGCGCUGGGUGCUAGCGCAUUUUUUUAGGGGUGGAGAUGCCUUGGCCUAUUACUGUUCACUCCAGUCUAUUACUGUUCAUUUGAGUGGAUAAAUGCGCUGGGUGCUGGCGCAAAGUCCACAGGGGUGGAAUUGCUCUAAAGUCUCGUGUUUUGAUGAGAUGUGGUCUACAAAUGAUAUAGCAUGUGCCCUACGAAAAAUGAGAUCGGAUUACCUAUUUGAAGCUUCUCUAGUAUGAAAAAUUCAAGAGGGAUGUGACGGGUCCGGAAAAUAAAAAAUCACACAUUUUUAUUAAUAAUUUUUUUGUUCGAAUUCGGAAAUGUAUAGAACUGAACAAAUGGAAUAGUAGCUCAGUGAUACCAACAAUUUCAUGUUGCAAAUCACAAAACAAAAAAAAAGGAACUGUUUUACACAAAAUUAAUGACAAUUAGAGUUGAACAACAGAAGCUUGCACUUUAAACGGUUUUUUUCUGCUGCUUUUGGUAUGUAUAUGCUUUUUCCAUGUCUCGAUGUAGUGCCAGUUCACAGGUCAUCAUCCUGGAACAAUGCUUUCGAAACAGAGCCGCACGGCUGGCUACUGUAUUCUCGGUAAUCUUCAUCGUCAUCCCAGCUGCGUUGCGAGCAUGAACGUUUGAUUCCUGUCAUUGGGGUUUCACAUACUCUGUCAUCACAUGAACCUCUAUGAUCCUUCCUUUUAAACAGCUUUCGAAGCGGAUUUAACUUUGGUUUCAAUGGUUUCAGCUGUUUUGGGGCCCAAACUCUCUGCAGAUCGGGCAUCCAUCUUGUGGAUGAAGCGAAUCUCCAAGCCCUCUCUCUCCUCUCUUGAGCUUCAAGUAACUUGCGAGCAUGGUCGUCGUUUUGUUUGAUCUCUUCAGCGCUCGGUCUUCCAAUAUCAGUUUUCAGCGGACGAAGAGACUCACCUUCUGCUGAUAAUGAGUCCCAGAUUCUAUAACUUUCAUCCACUUCGACACUCUUUGGUUUUUCUUUACAGGAUUGAUUGCUAUCCUCACUGUUGAGUAAACUAAUAGGGAGUUCUUCCUCAUCGGCAAACAGUAGCAAAUCCAUUUUUGUAUAGAUUUUGUGAACCACAUCUUCAAGUGUCUCACAGUACCUGAAAAUGUCCAAAUUCAAAGAUUAAUCUACCUGCUUAAUUCUCCAUCUCAAACAAAAAUUGAUCACCUGCAUUUGUACAUCAGGAAACUAAAUGCAGGAAUGAAUUAUUUAAGCUCCAUCAUUUCAAGGAUCAUACCGUAGGCUAAUAUGCUAUUGCAGAAGUUGUAUAAACAUAUUCCUCACUCGUUCAGAAAAACAUGCCUACGAUGUGCGGAUAACUGGCUUAUACCCUGUAAAUCUACACUAAUAAGGAAACACACUUAACUCAUCUAAGAUUAUAAAGAUAAUCACUUUCCUUUUUUAGCAUUAUUGCAAAGGUAAGUAGGAGAGCAUUGGAUGGGCAGUAAUAUCCCACAGGAAAGUGGAAACAGUGGCACCGGAAAUGUGUAUUUGAUGAGACAUGAACGGUAGACUGAAUGAGUGUCGAGAAAGCCAUAACGACUCGGUAAAACAUCCAUUAUAUAAAGUAAAGAAUAAUGCGAAAGGCAGGGGUUUUCAACUCUGGUACAGAUUUAUUACCUGCUUUUUAUGAUCCUUUCAACAUAAUCAUCUACACUCCAGUCACCAAAGAAGCCCUCCAGAUGACAUCGAAUUUUCUCCAAAAACGAGCAAAUCUGUUUUACAAACUUCUGUUUCAUAGAUUCUGCAAUACUUGCACCAACCUCUGAUUGUAGUAUCUCCAUACGGAAAAAUAUCUGCAAUUCAUAUCUAGUACUAGGUGAAGGAAAAGUGUAAAUGUAAUUGGAGACAAAUUUUCAUAUUGGUAGAGUUAUAACUGGAUUAAUGCAUAAUACAGAAGACAGUUCAGUUAUAAAUGAGAAAGGAUACUCUCGAACUAUUUUUCCAGAAGUCAGUCCUUCAGAUUCUGAAUCGGAUGCUUUAACAAACGGGCCGGAGCUUUUCUGCCUUGCAGUGAUAUCCUUGGGAUCUCUCAGUAGAAGUUUUAACACCUCAGCAGAAACCAAAUCAUCAGUAGCACCAGAUUUUACAAGGGAAGUUUGACUCUCUGAAAGGGCUUCUGUUUCCUGCUUUUUAUUUAACCAAUAUAUGGAUGAAUUCACAAGCCGAUAUGCCAAUGCCCCCAAGUCUACUGCUUCAUAUUCAAGCCCCUGUUGUAUCUUGUUGGAUAGACUACUGAAAAAAUCUUCCGACGUUUCUGAUCUAAAUUCCAAAGCAGCUUCAUCUUGUAUGCCAGAAGCCACAGUCAAAGAAUUUUCUCCAAUGGAAGGAGAUGAAGAAAUUGGCUGUUCACUUUCAUGGUGCAAGUUAUCCAACCUAUUGUCCAUCCCUUUUCUAUUGAGCUGGUCUGCCUGGGAUUCUUUCUCCACUAUUAGACCACGAUCGCUAGACUUCUUAAUUUGUUUCAUCCAGCAUUUCAGAAAUCGUAUCUUUUUUGAGUUAUAACAUUCCCUGGCAAAGUAAACCUCUUCCAAACCUAUCUCUGAGUGUUCAAAUGCUGCCUUGUAGAAGGCACUCCAUGUGAGAUCUUGUAGCAACUGUGAAUUUCUUUUGUUAUUUCUCUUCCUUCCCUCCUUGCCUGCAGAAUGCUUAUUGGAUGGCCCAGUUUGGUCCAAAUCAGCAUUCGGUUCGCAAAUCCCAUUCUUCAUAUUUCGACUUGAUUGGUCUGCUUUUGCUCCACCAAUAUCAUGCACUUUUGUCUGAGGGUGAAAUCCUUCAUCCACAAUAAACAGCCGAGCCGAAGAAACUGUGAAAGGUUUGAGAAUUCCGGUAGACGAUACACCACUGUCACUUGAAAGAGACACUAAUGCUCCAUGACCAUUCCUAUAUAAGAAACUCAAGAGAAUCUGCCAAAUGGGUGCUGACUUUCUCUUUGCAUUCUCACCCAAGUCCACUGCUACCACUUCUAGAACCUUAUCUGCAUAAUAAUUGCCAGAACUUUCUUUUCCAUCUUCACCAGGUUUUCCCAAAACAUCACAGACAAGGACUGGAUCAGAUAAGUGCCCCUUGAAUUUCAGAAACUCAUUGUACUUUUGCAAAGCCUUAACCUGGAACUUUGUCACGCCUUUGACAAAAUACCCCCAGAACAAUUCCUUCAGUUUACCACCCUUUGUUUGUGAAUUCAUGAUUUCUAGGGAAAAGAAAGCAUCAUCAGCUGCAUUUCUAGGCAACUUCUUCAAAUCAACCAAUUGAAGAUCACAAACCUUGCAUUCCAAAGGCUUCCCACUUACAUCUAAGAUCUCGAGACUCAACUGCGCAUUGACUUUCUUAUGACUAUCAUCACAACCGAAAAACUUGGAUGAAAUCCCUAUCUCGGGAUAAAUCAAACCAAAGGAAACAAGAGCAGAGCCAAGAAUAAUCCAACCAGUCGAGCAAAAUCCCCAUCCCAAACUCCUAACCCCACUCUCGAAAAACCCAAAUCUCGUCUUAUCCUCAUCGUUCCCAACCUUACCCUCACCACAUUCUAAUUCAUACCUGACAUCAACCCAGCUACACUGAAUAUCUCUACUCACAAAUGCUUCAUUCACAUUCUCAAAGAAACCCCUAAAUCUCUCGGAAAACGCUUUCACAUUUUCCAAAGACUCGUCACCCACACCCACUGUUAGGUCACAACUUCUAAAUUCCCUUUCUCGACCUGCUAGUAGCUGAUAGUAAUGGCGGUGAGUGAGUGGGAAGGAAGAUAGAGAGAGAUAGAAAGUUUCUUGUAAUAUUGUUUUUCUAAUUCAAUCCUGCAGAACAAUGCCACAAUUUGGUUCUUAUACAACCAUCCUUCUCACAAUGCCAGCUGGCUACUAACAAUAACGACAUGUAGCUAAAUAGUUUUCCACUAUUAUUCUAACCACUAUUAUAAUCAUAACACUACCCCUCCCUUACAAAAUAAACCUUGUCCUCAAGGUUAGAAUUAAAGACUGAAAUCAGGAAAUCUGGCAGCAAACUCGUCAUAAUCCUCCCAUGUAGUUUCGUCCUCUUUGUUGUUCUUCCACUGGAUUAACAACUGAACUCCAGCAGCUUGGCCCUUCUUGUAGACCCUCAUUUGUAGCACCUUGAGUGGUUCGAGUGGUAGCAACCCAUCAUCAGUGACAGUAGGCAAGAAUGGAGUUAUGUGACCUUGUCUCCCAAGUGCUUCUUCAAGCAACUAACAUGAAAGACUGGAUGAAUUUUUGAAUUCUCAGGCAGUUUCAAUCGGUAGGCAACCUUCCCAAUAUUUUCCAAAACCUCAUAAGGACCAUAGUACCGGGGAUGAAGCUUAUGGUAAGCAUGAGAUGACAAAGAUUGCAAUUGAUAGGGAAUUAAUUUCAAAUACACCAAAUCUCCUUCCUCGAAAACCCUCUCACUCCGAUGCUUAUCUGCUUGUGUUUUCAUCCGGUUCUGAGCUACUAGUAAAUUGGUCCUGAGCAUUGCUAAUAUUUUGUCCCUAGUUAGCAGCCCUUGCUCCACUAUAUCCAACUUAGCAGUGCCAAGCUCAUAAGACGCGAUGUGUGGUGGUGGAUAACCAUAGACCACUUCGAAGGGGGUGAACUUUGAGGAAGUGUGGUAGGAAGUGUUAUAGCUCCAUUCUGCCCAUGGAAGCCAGUGGAGCCACUUCUUAGGUUGACAGCUAGUGAAGCAUCGCAAGUAAGUUUCAAGGCACCGAUUCACCACCUCUGUCUGGCCAUCACUCUGUGGAUGGUAACCCGAGCUCAUACACAACUUGGAGCCUUGCAACUUAAAAAAAUUCUUUCCAAAAAACACUCAUGAAAAUGGUGUCCCUGUCACUCACAAUGGUAGAGGGCAUCCCAUGGAGUUUAAACACAUUAUCAACAUAUUCCUGAGCUACCAUGCUUGCCGUAUACGGAUGUGCUAAGGGGAUGAAAUGAGCAUACUUGGACAGCCUGUCUACGAUUACCAGGAUCACUGAUUUGCCUUUGCACAGAGGUAAACCAGUGAUGAAAUCCAUGCUUAUAUCCUUCCAUACAUGUGUAGGGAUCGGCAGAGGUUGAAGUAAUCCGGGAGGGGAAAUGGUUUCAUACUUAUUUUGCUGGCAUUCCCGACAUUCAGCCACCCAUGACCUGAGAUCUUUCUUCAUUCCUACCCAAUAGAAGCCCCUCUUCAAUAUCUGAUAAGUCUUUAGAACCCCUUUCAUGGCCUGCACUUGGAGAAGAGUGAUGUUCCUCAAAGACCUUCCUUUUCCAACUUGAAUCUGGGCUAAGCACGAUCCGUCCUUUGUAUUUGAGGAAACCGUUGUCUAAAUGGUACUUGGACAGAUUGGGGUCAAUUGCAGCAGCUUAAGAAUAUGCUAACACCUUCUGCACCUUGCUUUGAAUCCAACUAUCUUGUUCUAACCCUCUCCGAAGUUCAUCUAGCCACCCGAAGUAGGGGUAUGUGAUAGCUUUGCACUCCAAUAAGUCACUGAGAGGUUUCUCUUGUAAUUGAGACGAACCAACUACUCGAGAUAAGGCAUCAGCCAUUAUGUUGUCAUUGCCUUGCCUAUAUUGUAUCUCAUAAUCAAAUCCCAACAACUUGGCCACCCAUUUCUGUUGGAACGGGGUAGUAGUUCUUUGACUCAGAAAGUAUUUCAAGCUGCUAUGAUCUGUCUUUAUGAUGAAAUGGCGCCCUUGAAGGUAGUUUUGCCAUUUUUUGAUAGCACUAACAAUGGCAAUCAACUCUCUUUCGUAUGUAGACAAUGCUUAAUUCCGUGGUCCCAAUGCUUGACUUGUGAAAGCUAUAGGUCUGCCAUUCUGUUGCAACACAGCCCCUAUUCCAUUGCCAGAUGCAUCACAUUCCAAAGUGAAGGGAAUAGCAAAAUUGGGUAAGGCUAAUAGCUGCGGAGAAGUCAUUGUUCUUUUUAAUGCUUGGAAAGCUGCCGUGGCUUCAGGGGACCAAUUGAAACCAUCAUUUUUUGUUAGUUGAUACAAGGGUUGACACACCUUGCCAUAACCGGGGAUGAAUUUUCUAUAAUACCCUGAGAGCCCGAGAAAUCCCCUCAACUCUUUGACAUUUUUCGGUAUCGGCCAAUCUAUAAUUGCUUGAAUUUUAGUAGGAUCUGCAGCCACCCCAUCACGAGAGACGAUGUGCCCCAAGUAUUCCACCUGUGAUUGGCCAAAAGAGCAUUUCGAUUUCUUCACUGCUAAUUGGUGUUUCUGUAAUAACUCCAAAGUUUGGUGCAAGUGUGAAAGAUGGUCCUCCCAGGUCUUGCUGUACACCAAAAUGUCGUCAAAGAACACCAAGAUGAAUUUCCGGAGGUAAGGCUUAAAAAUGUCAUUCAUAAGGGCUUGGAAAGUGGCAGGAGCAUUUGUAAGACCAAAGGGCAUGACUAAGAAUUCAUAAUGCCCUUGGUGAGUUCGGAAGGCAGUCUUUUCCACAUCGGAGGGACAUACGGAUCUGAUGAUAUCCAGACCUAAGAUCAAGCUUAGAAAAAUACUGAGCGCCAUGCAAUUCAUCUAACAAAUCAUCCACUAAUGGAAUAGGAUAUUUAUCCUUAAUGGUAAUGCUGUUCAAUUCACGAUAGUCCAUGCAAAGCCUCCAAGUGCCCUCCUUCUUCUUGACCAAGAGAACUGGAAAUGAAAAGGGACUAUGACUUGGCUGGAUGAAUCCAGCAUCUAAAAGUUCUUGCACAGCUCGUUCAAUCUCAGUUUUUUGCAUAGGACCAUAAUGGUAUGGUCUAAUACUCGGAGGCUUGGAACCAGGAAGCAAUGGAAUCUGGUGAUCAUGAGCCCGUGGAGGUGGUAAGGUAGUAGGAGGCUUAAAAACCGUUUCAAAUUGCCUGAGCAUACCCUGCAGCUCAAUGAGUUGCUGGGGAUUCAAGUUGGAUGCCUCCAACGGAUUAGUUUCCAUUGAAUACAAUAAGACGCCCCAAUUAGAGUAUUUAAACUCUUUUUCAAGCUGUUGACAAACAGUAUCCUGUACCAAGUACGCUGGAGCAGUGGAAUGAACAAGUUUAUAGUGGUCUUUUCCCACAGAAAAUUCCAUGGUUAAGUUGUGAAAAUCCCACAAAACUGGACUCACAGAUGAGAGCCAUUUCACACCCAAUACAACAUCGCAACCCCCUAGAGGAAGUGCGUAGAGGUUAGUGUGGCAGCGAUAUGCACCCAAUUCCAAGGGAAUUUGUUGGCAACAGCCUUGACUUCGGACUUUACCCCCAUCGGCAAUCAUGACAUCGAAGGGUUUGGUGGUGUGACAAGGCCACCCGAGCUGCUUAAGCAACCUAGAAUCCACAAAAUUGUGGGUGCUACCAGAGUCAAGUAGUAUGGUAACAGGUAGAGUGUGAAGCACACCAGCCACUUUCAUGGUUUGUACCGUGGAGGGCUCAGUAGUGCCAUAGAACGCACAAGCACUCAACUCCAUGCUUGAUAGGGAAAGAUCAAUAGGCUCCAGUAAUUCACACUCUGUAGGUUCCAGCAAUUCACACUCGGUAGGCUCCAACUCAUUACAAACAUCAAGCAUAAGGAGCUGUUUAUUAUGGACACAUUUGUGCCCUCGAACCCACUUUUCAUUACAGAACCAACACUCGCCCUUGUCCUUCUUCCGUUGAACUUCCUCGGGGGUAAGUUUCUUAUAAGGGAGGGUUUGAGGAUGAGGCCUGGUAAGGGAAGGUAGAGGUAAGGCGAGAGGAGGUUUGAGUGGGGGAUGAGGUUUUGGGGGAGAUGGUUUCAAGUCCGUGAGUUUAGCAUUUAAUUGGGCAGCAAAGGAAAUGGCCUCAUGAACUGAGGAAGGGCGAAGCAAUUUAACAUCGUAACGCAAUUCCUUCUUGAGACCCCCCAGAAAGCAACUCUUUAAGAGAAUAGGACCAACAUCAUAGGUUCGAGUGGCAAGGCGCCGAAAUUCCACAAUAUAAUCACGAAGAGGGCCGGUUUGGCGGAGUUUGAAUAGCGACUCAGUGCAGUCCUCAAACUCCGGUGGACCAAAUUCCUGGCACAAAGCAGUCGUGAAUUCACCCCAGGUGGGAGUGGAAUGUACACAAUCGCGCCAACGAAACCAGUACAGCGGCUCAUUCUUGAAGUGGAAGGAGGCGGUCAAAACCUUCUGAUUCUCCGGAGUGUGAUAAUAAGCAAAAUAUUGUUCGGCCUUAUAGAUCCACGCUGAGGGAUCAUCACCGUCGGAGAAACGGGGAAAAUCCAGACGAUGUGACCGCUGCGGGCGAGGAGUAAAACCGCCGCCUUCAAAAGAAUCACGGCGCUGAAACCGUGGAGUGUCGAGACAACGAAAAUCGCCAUCAUCGGUCACAAUGGGAGGAGGAAUAUGUGGAUCUGGCACUAGAGGUGGUGGUGCAGUCGAAGAGCCAGCACCGCCUUGAGGACCAGGGUCGCGAUGGAGAUGCUCCAGGAGAAGGGCGAAUUUGGUUUCGAGAGCGGUGAAGCGGGUGUCGGAAUUGGCGUUGGAAGUCUGGAUCAGCUGAGGAAUGGCUCCCAUGGCUUCCAGAGUAGCUUCCACGGCGGAGAGGCGCGAUUCAACAGUGGACAUUCGAGAAUUUGUGGUGUGGCGGGGCAUACAAGAGGGAGACUCAGGAUCGAGAGGCUGAUACCAAUUGUUAGGUCAAAACUUCUAAAUUCCCUUUCUCGACCUGCUAGUAGCUGAUAGUAAUGGCGGUGAGUGAGUGGGAAGGAAAAUAGAGAGAGAUAGAAAGUUUCUUGUAAUAUUGUUUUUCUAAUUCAAUCCUGCAGAACAAUGCCACAAUUUGGUUCUUAUACAACCAUCCUUCUCACAAUGCCAGCUGGCUACUAACAAUAACGACAUGUAGCUAAAUAGUUUUCCACUAUUAUUCUAACCACUAUUAUAAUCAUAACACCCACAUUCGGGAAUUCUGUCAAACAGUUUGCAGACACACAGACGGGCGAAAACAGAACUACCAAAUUAGACCUCACAGCAACCGAAUCACUAUUCGAGAACAUACCCAUCAUUGGAUCGCAGAUCACGGGGUCCCAGGCGUAGUCGUGCACGAGCUGGCGCAAGGAGACGGCGAAAUGCGGGGAGGGAAUUGAGGGUGUGGAAGAGGGAAUUGAAAGUGGGGCCGGGGAGGUGGAAAGAGAGGGAGAGAGAAGUGGGGAGCUUGGAGGAGGAGAGCAGCGGAGAGAGGGAGGAGAAGAAGGGUCUGAAGGCGAAGAGAGAGGCGGAGAGAAGAAGGAAGGAGAGGAUGGUUUUGACGGCGGCGAGGAGGGCGGUGAGAAAUGGAGCUGGGUUUUGGAGGUGGAGGAAUGGGUUGAGGUCUAGGAGGAGGACGAUGCGCACAGUGCCUGCCUAUCAUGUAAAACCAUUGACAAUGAUACAAGACAGUUUAUUUGGACCUAUAAAACUAUAUUUAUGUAAAACUAUAUUUUAUUCAAUUUCAAAAAUUAGUACAUGCAAUGACAUGUUUGAUCGUAAAAAAAAAAAAAAUGAGAAAUUUUCAGUGUAUCAGAAAUACGAAUCGGUAAAAAAUCUCUCCAAAAAUACAUAUGCAUGUUUUAUUCAAAAGGAAAGGAAUGAGGCGCCAUCAUCCCUAACACACUUUAUUACAAGUAGUAUCAUCCAUUGAGGCAGAGAAGUUAAUUAGAUGCUGUCCUUAAUGGAUGCACUAUAACCGUUGUCAUAGAACCUGUUCCAAAGCAUAACUCCUCCGUACUUGGCCGAAUUCUUAAUUGUUGGAAGGACUUGUGACUUGAGAGCAUCAGCAGGAAUAAAUCCGCUGCGCGCGGCAUCAGUAGACGCCGGUAUCCCCAAGAACACCUGGGUGGCCGAAACCGAGGCCCAUCGGUUCCAACUGCUCAAAAGAGCGUCGGCAUUACCGUCUGCAUACUGGCAUUGGGCUAGGGGGUUGUUGUAGAACUGAACCCAAACGUAGUCAAAUAAACCGGUUGGAUAGCGCCGUCUAGGUGAGUAUCCGGGAACGGGCAUUGUGGAGCUGCGGCUAAAUAGACCGUUUUUCCCUGUCCGUUGUGUCCUUUGAGUGACCUGGCGAGCUCGUCGUAGAACUGCGUACCACCCAACUCAAUGUCGAAAUCGACGCCGUCCAAAACCGCGUCCCCAAGCGGGCGCGAAUCUGACUGACCACCUAGGAAGUUGUUCCAGAUGUAAUCAGCAACUUGCCUUGCCUCAUCAGCUGAAGUGAGAGAGUAAGUUUCGGUGGCCCCUCCAAUCGAGAGGAGGACUUUUAUGUUUUUUGAUUGGCAGGUUCUGAUGUCGGCACUCUGCCCCGUGCAAGUACCACUAGCGGGGUUGCAGUGGCCGGCGAGGUUUAGGACAGGGGCUUGGUUGUUUCCAAAAGUUGAGAGGAAAGCUAUGUUAACAAACUGGUAGUUGCCCGAGUUGCAAGCUUCUGCUAGGGUUCCUUCGUUGCCGUUUUGGCCCCAAUACGUCGCGAUUCCGGCGGCUUGGGAGGACUUGCAUGAAGAAAUGAGGAUCAAGAGGGACAGAGUUAGGGCUAGGGUUUGUGUUUUGGAUGCCAUUUUUGUAUGUGUUUUUUUGGGUUGUUGCUCAAAGUGCUUGGGAGGGGACAUGUAAUUAUAGGUGCAGGAGACUUACUGGUUAAGGUUUGGGGGAAGAAAAGUAUGACAGACGUGUUCUGCAGGUAAGAAAUGGGUGCCAGUCUUCCUCUUGCAACCGCGUCAAUCGAGUUAGCUGGGGCCUGUUUAGUCCAAGUCUUCCAUAAAACGCCGAUUAAGUUAGGUUGUGUUGAAAAUGCUUUCUUCAAAAAACACUUACACACGUAAGCGCUUCUUAUAUUUUUCAUAAGAAUGCAGGUGCUUUUGAAUAAAACACUUAAAGUAUUCAUCAAUUCCUCCCUUGAACUUGUGAUCAUUGGCCAAUUUCACCCCUCAACUUUAAUUUUGGCCAAUUUCCCCCCUCAACUCUCAUAAUUAGUCAAUUUGCACUCUACUGUUAAUUUUCCAUCUAUUCUUUUUUUUUUUCUUUCAAUCUUUCUAAUAACUUCCAACAAAGUACUAAAAUUAACAUAAACUCACCUGCAUAAUAUAGGGUAAAAUGUACAAAAACAUAAUACAAUUAGUAUGUGAUAUGGGUUGAUUAUAAAAAAAAUGUUAUGAAUCGGGUUUAAAGCAUGUAGAAGAAGAAAUAAUAAUCCUAAACUCAUGGAUCAGACCUAUUUCAAUAAAAUGUGUUAUUCUUAAUAAGGAAUCGAAAAUUAUGAAUUGACUAGUCAUUUUUGCACUAAAGCUCGAUUCUCCACAAUUUACUUGAACUUAGCUUUCACUUUUAUAAAGAAAAUUGUAUUCACAUACAAAAAUGUACACAUCAAUCCUUUUCGUUAUCAAUUUUGUAUAGUAAAAAAUCAAAUAAAAUUACUCCAUACUGAUUUAUUAUGACUAAUAAUACUAUCUAUGAUAAAUUGUAAAAUUCUAAAUUUUAAUCUAGUUGUAAUAGGAUAAAGACAUAGGAAAAUGAUUAACAUACAUCUUAUUUAGUUUCUUACACACACUUGUUUACUUAUGAUCAAAUUAAAAAAUUAACAGUAGGGUGCAAAUUGACUAAUUAUGAGAGUUGAGGGGGGAAAUUGACUAAUUAUGAGAGUUGAGGGGGGAAAUUGGCCAAAAUUAAAGUUGAGGGGGGAAAUUGGCCAAUAGUUACAAGUUCAGGGGAGAAAUUGAUGAAUACCUCAAACACUUAAGGUGUUUCGCAUGUGCGCUUUUUUUUUCAAAAAGAAUUUUAAAUGUUUUUUCAACCUAAAAAUCCAUUAAAGCUCCUUUACUUGUUUUAAAGGCACUUCCAAAAUAAUAUUUAAAGAAAAAUUACUUCUAGAGAGAAUUAUAACAUGCUAAUUGAGAGAUCCCAAAUUUAGAAACUAGAUAGUUAUGAAGUGUGACCUUAACUGCAUAAUUAGGUGAAAAAAGCCAUCAAAUUUGACAAAAAGUCUGAUGAAAGGUCAUAGCUGUAUGCAUAGUCCGUAGAUGAGAUAAUCAUGAAACAAUACGUGGGGAAUCAACGCAUCCUCAUCAUUGUCAAAAUAAAUCAGUGUUCCAGAAACACGACCCGAUAUACAAAGUGUUUUAACAUCAAUUGAACGUUUUGGAAGUUUGUGGAUAGAAACCAAAUGGAAUAUGCUUGUAACCAAAAUUGCUGGCUGCUAUAUACAUCUUGGAUUUUAGCUGAGGUGGCCAUUGGCCAAGGACUUUGGUCUAAUCACGAUGCUUUAAUUUCGCAAUCCAAAAAAAAAAUUCAGAUAAAAUUUAGAACACGUUUUGGGAGUGUUUUCAAAUUACUGAAAGCGAUUUUAGAAAGAAAAAAAAUGUUUAUAUAACUAAUCUUUAAUAAAAAUGCAAGUUAAUCCUCCAAAAGUACUGAAACUAGUGCUUCUUUGAUAAAACACUUCAAGUGCUUUUGGAGCUCAAAAAUAUUAUCUCAAGUGGUUUCAGUCGUUUAAAAACACUUUCUAAACUAGUUAAUGACUCGUGUAUGGGGCAACAUUUAGCAAGUAACAGCUCUCAUGAAUUGGAUCGUGGUGAUGUGAAAAUGGGUUUGGGUAAGUUUAGUUUAGACCAGUCACCAGUGUAUAAAAUAUCCACGGCAUUGUCGAUAUUUUCGUCGAAAUAUCCUUAAAAUUAAGGGUCCAUAAGGAAAAGAUGGGUGAAAUGCAAAUUUCACCCUAUAUCGGCGAUCUAUAAGAAAACAAUGAAUAUCGACAAUAUUUACCGAUUAACUACAAAAUUUUGCUGAAACCUAUUGCAGAUUUCGAACUUUAGAAUUUUUUUUUAUAAAUUUUUUCUUUAAUUUCGACUAAAUCUGAAUGAGUUGAUACUUAAUAUGCUUAUCCCAUUGUAAAUUUCCAUUGAAGACUUUCCAUCUAUAUCAAUAUUUUAAACAUUGGUUUAGACCCACAUGUUUAAUAUCGAGUGCAUGCAAAUAGAAUGUCAAAUCUUUCGGAAAAACUUCAAUAGGACUGCCACUUAAGGGCAACUAGAUUAUUAAAGAGACGAAUGCAAGGUUGGAUGAGACUAAUAUACAUAAAGUCUCGUGUUUUGGUGAGAUGUGGUCUACAAAUGAUAUAGCAUGUGCCCUACGAAAAACAAGAUCAGAUUACCUAUUUGAAGUUUCUCUAGUAUGAAAAAUUCAAGAGGGAUGUGACGGUUCCGGAAAAUAAAAAAAUCACACAUUUUUAUUAAUAAUUUUUUUGUUCGAAUUCGGAAAUGUUUAGAACUGAACUAAUGGAAUAGUAGCUCAGUGAUACCAACAAUUUCAUGCUGCAAAUCAUAAAAAAUGGAACUGUUUUACAUAAAAAUUAAUGACAAUUAGAGUUAAACAACAGAAGCUUGCACUUCAAAUGGUUUUUUUCUGCUGCUUUUGGUAUGCAUAUGCUUUUUCCAUGUCUCGAUGUAGUUCCAGUUCACUGGUCAUCAUCCUGGAACAAUGCUUUCGAAACAGAGCCGCACGGCUGGCUACUGUAUUCUCGGUAAUCUUCAUCGUCAUCCCAGCUGCGUUGCGAGCAUGAACGUUUGAUUCCUGUCAUUGGGGUUUCACAUACUCUGUCAUCACAUGAACCUCUACGAUCCUUCCUUUUAAACAGCUUUCGAAGCGGAUUUGACUUUGGUUUCAAUGGUUUCAGCUGUUUUGGGGCCCAAACUCUCUGCAAAUCAGGCAUCCAUCUUGUGGAUGAAGCGAAUCUCCGAGCCCUCUCUCUCCUCUCUUGAGCUUCAAGUAACUUGCGAGCAUGGUCGUCAUUUUGUUUGAUCUCUUCAGCGCUCGGUCUUCCAAUAUCAGUUUUCAGCGGACGAAGAGACUCACCUUCUGCUGAUAAUGAGUCCCAGAUUCUAUAACUUUCAUCCACUUCGACACUCUUUGGUUUUUCUUUACAGGAUCGAUUGCUAUCCUCACUGUUGAGUAAACUAUUAGGGAGUUCUUCCUCAUCGGCAAACAGUAGCAAAUCCAUUUUUGUAUAGAUUUUGUGAACCACAUCUUCAAGUGUCUCACAGUACCUGAAAAUGUCCAAAUUCAAAGAUUAUUCUAUCUGCUUAAUUUUCCAUCUCAAACAAAAAUUGAUCACCUGCACUUGUAUUUCGGGAAACUAAUUGCAGGAAUGAAUUAUUUAAGCUCCAUCGUUUCAAGGAUCAUACCGUAGGCUAAUAUGCUAUGCAGAAGUUGUAUAAACAUAUUCCUCACUCGUUCAGAAAAACAAUGUUACAAUGUGCGUAUAACUGGCCUAUAUCCUGUAAAUCUACACUAAUAAGGAAACACACUUAACUCAUCUAAGAUUAUAAAGAUAAUCACUUUCCUUUUUUAGCAUUAUUGCAAAGGUAAGUAGGAGAACAGUGGCACCGGAAAUGUGUAUUUGAUGAGACAUGAACGGUAGACUGAAUGAGUGUGGAGAAAGCCACAAUGCCUCAGUAAAACAUCCAUUAUAUAAAGUAAAGAAUAAUACGAAAGGCAGGGGUUUUCAACUCUGAUAUUUAUUACCUGCUUUUUAUGAUCUUUUCAACAUAAUCAUCUACACUCCAGUCACCAAAGAAGCCCUCCAGAUGACAUCGAAUUUUCUCCAAACAAGAGCAAAUCUGUUUUACAAACUUCUGUUUCAUAGAUUCUGCAAUACUUGCACCAACCUCUGAUUGUAGUAUCUCCAUCCGGAAAAAUAUCUGCAAUUCAUAUCUAGUACUAGGUGAAGGAAAAGUGUAAAUGUAAUUGGAGACAAAUUUUCAUAUUAGUAGAGUUAUAACUGGAUUAAUGCAUAAUACAGAAGACAGUUAAGUUAUAAAUGAGAAAGGAUACUCUCGAACUAAUUUUCCAGAAGUCAGUCCUUCGGAUUGUGAAUCAGAUGCUUUAACAGACGGGUCGGAGCUUUUCUGCCUUGCAGUGAUAUCCUUGGGAUCUCUCAGUAGAAGUUUUAACACCUCAGAAGCAACCAAAUCAUCAGUAGCACCAGAUUUUACAAGGGAAGUUUGACUCUCUGAAAGGGUUUCUGUUUCCCACUUUUUAUUUAACCAAUAUAUGGAUGAAUUCACAAGCCGAUAGGCCAAGGCCCCCAAGUCUACUGCUUCAUAUUCAAGCCCCUGUUGUAUCUUGUUGGAUAGACUACUGAAAAAAGCUUCUGACGUUUCUGAUCUACAUUCCAAAGCGGCUUCAUCUUGUAUGCCAGAAGCCACAGUCAAAGAAUUUUCUCCAAUUGAAGGAGAUGAAGAAAUUGGCUGUUCACUUUCAUGGUGCAAGUUAUCCAACCUAUUGUCCAUCCCUUUUCUAUUGAGCUGGUCUGCCUGGGAUUCUUUCUCCACUAUUAGACCACGAUCGCUAGACUUCUUAAUCUGUUUCAUCCAGCAUUUCAGAAAUCGCAUCUUUUUUGAGUUAUAACAUUCCCUGGCAAAGUAAACCUCUUCCAAACCUAUCUCUGAGUGUUCAAAUGCUGCCUUGCAGAAGGCACUCCAUGUGAGAUCUUGUAGCAACUGUGAAUUUCUUUUGCUAUUUCUCUUCCUUCCCUCCUUCCCUGCAGAAUGCUUAUUGGAUGGCCCAGUCUGGUCCAAAUCAGCAUUCGGUUUGCAAAUCCCAUUCUUCAUAUUUCGACUUAAUUGGUCUGCUUUUGUCUGAGGGUGAAAUCCUUCAUCCACAAUAAACAGCAGAGCCGAAGAAACUGUGAAAGGUUUGAGGAUUCCCGUAGACAAUACACCAGUGUCACUUGAAAGGGACACUAAUGCUCCUUGACCAUUCCUAUAUAAGAAACUCAAGAGAAUCUGCCAAAUGGGCGCUGAUUUUCUCUUCGCAUUCUCUCCCAAGUCCGCUUCUAGCAUUUCUAGAACCUUAUCUGCAUAAUAAUUGCCAGAACCUUCUUUUCCAUCUUCACCAGGUUUAACCGAAACAUCACAGACAAGGAGAGGAUCAGAUAAGUGGCCCUUGAAAUUCGAAAACUCAUUGUACUUUUGCAAAGCCUUAACCUGGAACUUUGUCAUGCCUUUGCCGAAAUUCCCCCAGAACAAUUCUUUCAGUUUACCACCUUUUGUUUGUGAAUUUAGGAUUUCUAGGGAAAAGAAAGCAUCAUCAGCUGCAUUUCUAGGCAACAUCUUCAAAUCAACCAAUUGAAGAUCACAAACCUUGCAUUCCAAAGGCUUCCCACUUACAUCUAAGAUCUCGAGACUCAACUGCGCAUUGACUUUCUUAUGACUAUCAUCACAACCGAAAAACUUGGAUGAAAUCCCAAUCUCGGGAUAAAUCAAACCAAAAGGAACAAGAGCAGAACCAAGAACAAUCGAACCAGUGGAGCAAAAUCCCCAUCCCAAACUCCUAACCUCACUCUCAAAAAACCCAAAUCUCGUCUCAUCCUCAUCGUUCCCAACCUUACCCUCACCACAUUCUAAUUCAUACCUGACAUCAACCCAGCUACACUGAAUAUCUCUACUCACAAAUGCAUCAUUCACAUUCUCAAAGAAACCCCGAAAUCUCUCAGAAAACGCAUUCACAUUUUCCAAAGACUCGUCACCCACACCCACAUUCAGGAAUUCUGUCAAACAGUUUGCAGACACAGAGACGGGCGAAAACAGAACUACCAAAUUAGACCUCACAGCAACCGAAUCACGAUUCGAGAACAUACCCGUCAUUGGAUCGCAGAUCACGGGGUCCCAGGCGUAGUCGUGCACGAGCUGGCGCAAGGAGGCGGCGAAGCACGAAGCCCGGGGCAGCGAUGCCGGAUCGCGGCGAAAUGCGGGGAGGGAAUUGAGGGUGUGGGAGAGGGAAUUGAAAGUGGGGCCGGGGAGGUGGAAAGAGAGGGAGAGAGAAGUGGGGAGCUUGGAGGAUGAGAGCAGCGGAGAGAGGGAGGAGAAGAAGGGUCUAAAGGCGAAGAAAGAGGCGGAGAGAGGAGGGAAGGAGAGGAUGGUUUUGACGGCGGCGAGGAGGGUGGUGAGAAAUGGAGCUGGGUUUCGGAGGUGGAGGAGUGGGUUGAGGUCUAGGAGGAGGACGAUGCGCUGCGUUUUGCCGUAGUCGGCGAUUGGGUCGCCGGAGCUCCGAUCAGAUGCCAUCGCAUUUGCAGGAGGAGAAAGAGAAGGAAUUUGGCUGCAGAGAAGAAGGGAGAUGCAAAUGUGGAAUUAAGGAACAGUAAACCGAAUACGCCGUCGUUUUAGGAGAAAAACAACGAUAUGGUAGAUGCUUGAGCGGGAAACCAAAUUUUGGCGGUAAAGCAAAUGUUUUAAUCUGAUCAAGGACCUGUUUGGACUGCUUCUAAAUUUGUUAAAAGCGCUUUUAGAGAACGAAAGAGCUUUUGACAUCAGUUGAAAAAAUAAAAAUAUUUAAAGUACUUCUUCAUGUUAAAAAAACACAUGGUUUAUAACGGAAAUUUCAACAUGAUUUGAAUGAAAGUGCAUUCCAAAAGUAUUAUGAAUAGAUAUGCUUUUCAAUAUGCUUAUAAUAAAAGUGCUUUUUGCAAAUGAUGUCGGACUCGUUUAUAAUUGCUUUUAAAAUGGUUGAAAGUUUAUUUUGUAAAAAUGUUUUUAGAACAAAUAUUUAAUAAAAAUACAAGUGAAUUAAAAAAAAACACUUCAAGAAUAAAACAACCAAAGGGGCAAAAACAGGACAACCAAAUUAGACCUCACAGCAACUGAAUCACAAUUCGAGAACAUACCCAUCACCAAAUCACAAAUAGCUGGUCCCAAGUGUAGUCGUGCACGAGCACAUUUAGAACCAAUAUUUUCUUUAAAAAUGGUCUCAAUCAUUUUAAAAACAUUUUCAAACGAACCCGUCAUUUUUAGGAGAAACACAAUGGCGCAAAUGAUCCUUAGGUGAGAAGAAAAACUAGACAUAAUGUUAAAUAGCACAUUAUGUACCAAUUUUUCUUCAACGGGGCUGGGACUACUAAGAAGUUUGGAAACUAAACAGCAAAGAUUGACUCUAAGAAAUCAAACCUGAUGAUUGCUUAUAAAGUCGAACUAUUUGAAUAGAUUUGACUACCGAAGACAAAAUCAUACAUAUGCGGAUCAUUAAAAGGUGAAAGAGGCCCAUAAAGACCAAAGCCAUAGCCCACAUAGCUGAUUUGGGCCAAUUGGCCCAUCUCAAUUCUAUUUUCUUUUUCUUUUUCUUUUUUUAGUUGAUUGGCGUGCUCUAUCCUCUCCCCAAACUCCAAACAUGGGGAAGAAAGCUGCAAACUUCCUCUCUCUUCAAACAAGAAAGCUGCAAACUUUCUCUCUCUAAAAUCCAACCCCUCAAAAGUUGCAAAAUUACAAGAGAGUCCCAACAUGUCCGCCAUUUCUCUCACCAAGUUCAUCGUCUUCUCUUCCAUCGCUUCCUCAACUUUCCCAAAAUAUCCAACUCCUUACCCUUCACUUUCACCCAAAUGCCCAACGUAUCCCCUCACCCACUCUUCCAGAAAGAUUUCGGUCUCGGUAUUUUCGAAGCCUUCCGAGGCGGAGGAAGACGAGGAGCUCCCGUCGGCGCCGGAGGACGAGUGGCUGAAGAAGCUGCCGGACAAGAAGAAGCCGCUGUACGCCCACAGCCUCCCCUGCAUCGAGGCCUGGCUGAGGAACUUGGGGUUUUACCAGAGCAAAGAGGACCGGGCGGUUUGGCUGGUGGAGAAGCCCGAGUGGCACGCCCAGCUCUCGCUCGACAUCACCGACUUGUAUGUGAGGUUGGUUUUCUGUUUUCUCUUCUGGGUUUCUGCCAUUUCUGCUGUACACACACACAUAUAUGUAUAUGCGUGCUGAAUUUUUGGCUGAUGGAUUGAUUUGGUGGUUUAGUGUUAAUUUUAUUGAGAAAAGAUCAUGAAUUUAAUCAGCCUGUGUGUUAAGUUUUAGAAUUUACAGUUUGUUUUGUUGCGAUACAAGUCGGGUUGCUGUGAGAUUGAAUUUGAUACCGAAUUUUAUAGAAAAAUGUAGUGAAAUUAGAGUGGACAAUUUGUGGAUGGUAGGAUGAUUGCACCUAAACUCGGAUAAAAGUGGAGUUUUAUUAGGCCUCUAUUAGUCUUCCAUGCCUUUGGUCCAUUUAUAGCUUCCAGUUUCUGUGAGUGAGUGGUUUACUGUGUUAACUUGAUCCGGUUGGCCGGUUGAAUUGGAGGUCAUGAUGGUGGAUUCAACUGCGAUUCCUGGAAAUAGUGUGGAUUCACAGAAAAAUGGAAAGGAAUCAAUGUGUUGUGGAAUGGGAACGAUAUAAGAGUUUGUUUAAAGGCUUCUUUAGGAUUGGCUCGAUUGGAUAUGUGGCUAAGUCCCAUUAUCACAUUCUAAGUUUCACGAAUGAGAUUGUGCGCUUGAUGACAUGAGCUAGUUAUAGACGAUAGGAAAUGGCGGUGAUGGUUGAAAGCGGGAAGCUUGAGGUUGUGGGGAAAGAUGGAGAAACAGACUGAUUACUUGAAAGUGUUCGUAUUACCCUGCAUCACCUCUAGUUUUUCCUUUUCACAUGACUGUGUCUCCCCUUUUUUCUUGGCGAUGUUCUAGAUCGUUGCUUGAAAUUGUUUCUUUUUUCUGAACCUUUUUGUUAUAUCAAAUAUUACUGCUGCUAAAUAUUUAACUGGUGAUGUAGGUAUCUAAAGACUGGACCAGGAAACCUUGAAAAGGAUAUGGAGAGGCGAUUUAGUUAUGCGCUGAGCAGAGAGGACAUCGAGAAUGCAGUGCUUGGAGGACCCUGAGGACAACAAAACAAUUGUUCCUGCAGGCAUCUAGUUUGCUCUUCUGAAUUUAUCGACCUCCCAGAAGGCACCUAUUACUUCUGGUUGACGGACUUGUGUGAAUAGGUUACUAUCGAUUCUUACACUAGGACUUUUGAGACGAAUAAUAGGCUGUGCUAUUAUUUAUAACUUAAAUUAGUCCUCAUGAGAGCUUUCGUGAUCAAAAUCGUUAUUUUUAGGUUACAGCUAGAACUUUAGGGAGGUGCUGAUUGGUGCAAAUGCUUUAGACAAUUUCAGAUCGAAUGUAUUCUUCUUUUCAUGAUAAAAUCGAAUGUAUUCUUCUUUUCAUGAUAAAAUCGAAUGUAUACUUCUGUACGAUGAAUCUUCGAUUUUAUUUUCCUUUGAACGCAAAUGUAGACGAUGUUAUUAGUACGUAACUAGCCUGAUCGGCAUUUCUGUAAUCAGUUUUCGAUCGUGUGAUGCAGAACCGGAAAAUUCUUUUUUUUUUCAAAGUUAUACAGAAUGAAAGAAACACAAUGUGCGAUUUUCGUCAAUUUAGAAGAAGAGCCGAUUGCACAGCAGCAAAAUGAUGUAACAAUUUUCGAAUUGGAUCUAUAUACUCUUAUUGAUUUUAAAAUGUACAGUAAUUCUCUUGCGUUUGACAACAACUUGUCGCGCAAGAAAUGUCUAUUUCCAGUUUCUGCAUCAUGAUACAUAUACAGUUCAUCAAUCAAGAUCUGCGUUUUAGAUUACGUUCAUCGCGGUGUUUUAGAUUACAUUCAUCGCCGUGCUGGGAACGGAUACCUACAACCUUAUGCAACCUGAUGUGCUACUAUUGAUCUGGACUAAGUAGUCGAUUAUUCUUCAUUGCCUUCGAGAAAAUAAGGUAGAGAUAUUAUACACACGCUUCUUCGGCUAGCAACGUUCUAUAGUUUACACCAAUCCUCCUUUUCACUAUGCUUCAUCUCUUCGCUACCCAGCCGUGGCAAAAUGGCGAGAUGAAACAAUGAAACACCGCUACUUUCAAUGCGAUUCUGCAGACUGGAGAUGAGACCAGUAUUCCUUGACAAGCUGCCCAAAUAGCGAGCCUUCUCUUCUCAUCAAGUUCAUUGGCUCGUCAUACUCCACAAUUUGUCCUGAAAUGGAUAAACGUGUUUCAUCAAUGUUACUCUCUUUUUCGAACAAUUAUGAACGAAUAAGAACUGGUAUAUAUUAUGUACUUGGAUGAGAUCACGAGAAGCAUUUUGAAGGAGAGAGUGAGAGUGAAACUCACCGUCACUGAUGGCAAGAACCAUUGAACAAUCCAUCACAGUCGGUAUCCUGUGAGCUACCGUGAUCACAGUGCAGUCUGCAAAUUCAGUUCGGAUAGUUUUCUGAAGAAUUGUAUCAGUGGCAUUGUCAAUUGAUGCGGUUGCUUCAUCAAGCACUAGUACCCGACUUCUUCUCAAAAGGGCACGCCCCAAACAGAACAAUUGCCUUUGUCCCAUGCUCCAGUUUGAUCCAUCUUCCACAACUGAGUAACAGGGCAUCAGUUAAUACAGCUGAUCACAAUUUCACAAAACAAAACGCUCGCCACCAUCCUGAUACACCGAAAAUCUUACCUAAGGAGUCUAAGCCGCUUUCCUUCUCCUGAACAGGCUCUCGAAGCUGACACUUCCCAAGAACCUUCAGUACGUACAAAUAAGUCAGUUGCUUAGUUUAAAAUUUCAACCAUGCUGAAUUAAACAGUCAAAAAGGAAUAAUACAGCAAACAAGCUUAUAUAACUCGACAGUAUACCUCCCAUAUUUCGUCAUCUGAAUGUUGAGACAAGGGAUCCAAAUUGUAUCUCACAGUUCCGUUGAAGAGGGUAGGAUCUUGAGGUAUUAUUCCAAAACGCGACCUUAGAUCAUGCAAUCCGAUUGUAGAGAUGUCAAUGCCAUCGACUAUAAUCUUCCCUCCCGCUGGCUCUACUAAACGAAAUAGAGCACCUAUGAGAGUAGACUUUCCACUGCCUGUACGACCAACAAUACCAAUCUUGUGUCCUCCUUCAAAAAUGCAACUGAUCCCACGAAGAACGAGUGGUGUAUCGGGCCUAUAUCUGAUCUGUUAUGACAUGAAAAUUCUCAGUAAGCUUCUUCAAGGUAAACCUUGACUAGUUCUAGCACCAAAGCAACCAAUAUUUACCUGCAAAUUUUGUAUCUCGACUUUACCUACAGCGGGCCAAUUGGUUGGAGGACGGUUUCCUUCUACUACUUCAGGGGCUUCACUCGGUAUAUUCAUGUACUGAUCUAGUCUUUCAACAGAAAUAAUGUAAUUUGCGAUACUGCACUGGAUCUGAAUUGAAAACAUCAAGGAAACGUUCAAUGAAAGACCAUACGAAAGUGCCAUCCCAAUGAAUCCUGCAGUGACACAGUAAUUGCUGUAAGUCUUGAUAGUUUGAAGUCAUACUACAUACAUAAGAGAUGUCAAAAUUACUCAGAAGAUUGCAACACUAAGAAUGUCAGGAUUCUUUUCCCUUUUAUCAAAGUUUGGAAAACUCACCAGCGCUGAAAGUUCCAGGAGGAAGCAAAGUCAUACAGAGUGCUGCAGAAGAAAGAACGGUUGCGCUUAUAAAUUCUAGCCGUAGGAUCAACCAUUCAUUCGCCGCAAAACUGUGGAAAUAAGGACUAGCAUUUGUGUCAAUGAGAUCAAAGUUCUUCUCCAAGAACCGCUCUUCUUCAUGGAAAGCUCUUAUUGUAAUCGCUCCUGACACCGACUCUGCUACAUGGUUUGCUACAAGGGACUUGGUUGUGCCAUUGAUUCGCAUCAACUCUUUUCCAGUCGAAAAGUAGUAUUUCUGAAAACAAGAAAUGGUGUAUCCACAGACGUUGUUUCAGAAAAAAGUAAAUUACUUUGCUAUUUCAGUUUCAAGUUCCAAUUUUUCCUCAAUUUCUAAUAGAGAGAAAUAUCACAACACAUAACACAUUGAUAGAAUCAUGCAGCCAGUUGAAGGAAUACAGAUUCUUCCUAGUAUAAGGAAUAAAAGAACUUGGUACGGCAUUACCUGUAGGGAAAUUGCCACAUAGAUCAUCGGUAUGGAGACAAACAGGACUUGCCAGGUAACGACAGCCAGUACUCCGAGAUUGGCAUAAGCGUUCAUAGUAGACCCACAGGCAAAGACUAGGUUGAACGGAACAUCAAGAUCUACGAUACUCAGAUCAGAUGACACCUACCAAAAAAAAAGCAACGCAAAAAGAUGUUAGUUCCUUGAAUGCCUACUAAUCUAUAAGCACACUUUCUGUUUGAAAUGCAUACCCGACUAAGUAUCCUUCCCAGAGGUGUUGAGUCAUAAAAAGACAUGGGUGCACGGAAAAGGGAACUCAGUAGCUGUGAGAACAAAGACUGAGAUGCCUCAAGACCCAUAAUAACUGUUAAAAUAGAUCUGAACAGUAGAAUAAAUGUUGCGGAAAAUCCAAUCAACAAGUAAACCGCAAUCAAUCGCAAUGUGCUAACAUUGGGAUUGUCAACGUUAGCAGCCAUCCAAGAGUUCUGCCCUAUCUGACUCAUAACGAAAAUGAAGUGUAAAAGAACUGCGGCUGAGAAGUACAAGAAUCCAUUCUUCUGCUUCAAAUACAGUACGAACGGCUUAACACCUAGUUCUCCUGUUUCUCUCUCUUCUCGUUUAAUCAAUUGGUCACCUUUUUCUGGUUUGAGUUGCUUUUCUACAUAUGUCUUCUUAAUCUCUCUGGACGAUAUUCCAGUUUGGGCCGCAGUGGCAUCUGCAAGCCUUUCAGAACCAGCAGUUUCUUUGUGUGCAUUCACAAGAUCCUGAAACUCUUGGCUUGAGGCCAAUAGAUGGUGAUAAGGAGCUGCUUGUAGGAUUUCCCCAUCUAACAUCAACUGUAAAAAAAGUUAAUUAGAAGUUAUUCUUAGAAAAACCGCUUCUGCUAUGAAAAUAGCGAUGAAUAAAAAUCCGAAUAGCCUAGAGUUAAAAGUUGACUAACCAAAACAGAAUCAAAUGCAGGCAGGAAAUCAACUUGAUGGGUCACAAGUAAAACCGUCUUCCCUGAAAGUGCUUCCAUAACAUAUUCCUGCCAAUGUACAAGUUAGCACUAAAAGCCAGACGAUAAUCAAAAAGGCACUGCCAGUGUUAGGAUAGAGUACUUACAUUGAAUAAGUUUGUAGCAGUAUGUGCAUCAACAGCACUGAAUGGAUCAUCCAAGAGAUAUAUAUCAGCAUUCUGAUAGAGAGCACGGGCAAGUUGGAUUCGCUGCUUCUGACCACCGCUCAGAUUGACCCCUCUCUCCCCUAUUUCAGUAAGGUCGCCAUAGGGGAGCAGCUCAAGGUCCUUUACAAGUGAACACCUCUCAAGUGUUUCUCGGUAUCUUUCAGUAUCCAUUGGAGAACCAAACAAAAUAUUUUCUUGGAUCGUCCCUGUCUGAAUCCAUGCUGUUUGAGAAACAUAUGCCGUCUUCCCAAAAACUUGAAUCUGCAAGUCAAGAAGAGAAAUUAAAGAUGAUACUUGCAUAAGGUGAGACUCUGCACAAUAUUGAAUCGUAAUUUUUAGCUAUCAAGGGAAAGUAAAGCGGCAACUUACAUUUCCUCGAACAUUUGGAAUUUCUCCAAGAAUUGCAGCUAAAAGGCUUGAUUUGCCUGAGCCGACUUCUCCGCAUAUAGCAACCUUUUCACCAGGUCUAACCUCUAAGUUUAUAUUUCUCAGAGUGGCCUUCGAAAUGUUCUCCACCCAUGAAAAAUCAGCCGACUUAAUAACAAUGGAGUGGGAUACAUUCUCCAUGUUCCUCUUCUGGACAUUUGAAGUCUGCAGCUCUGGUGCCUCAAGGAAUUUCACAAUACGUUCAAACGCAACCUUCGCUUGAAUGACAACCCCAAUAACCUCAGGAAUUGAUCUAAUGGGAUCCUGAACAAGGCGUAAAGUUGCUACGAAAGUAAAAACAUUGUUCGCAUGCAACGGAACCUUGAGAAAAUAACAUGCCCCAAAGGUUGCAGCAGACACCAGAACAGGGGACGACCAAAAGAGAUAGGAAUUAUACGCUUUUCUAUACUGCACUGCAGAUAACCAUUUGUGCUCCUCCUUCCUUAACCUCUCUAUCGCCUUCUUGAAAUGAGUUUCCCAUGCAUACAACUUCAACACCUUCAUGUUCACAAGAGCCUCGGAACUAGCCUUCAGUCUUUCGUCUUGUGCCACCAUAAGCUUAGACUGAAACUUAUGUUGUAACUUAGCAACUGGAGCAUUGCAAAUCACUGUCAAAACUAUCACCACCAACGCUGCAAUCGUAGCCAGGCCAACUGCGCGGAAAAGAAUCACCAAUGCAAGACAGAGCUGGAGGCCGGUCGUCCAAGUUUGGUGGAACCAAUAUGGGAACUCUCCGAUCCUAUAAGCAUCCACAGUAACGUAAUUCAUAAUCUCACCACCUGAGUGUGUCAACUUAGCAGCAUUCGAUAAUCUCAAUUGCUUCUUGUAAAUGGCCGAUGUGAGUAAAGACUUGAUUUUCACACCAAUAAGCCUGGAUCGUAAGUACCAUUGCCGUUGUGAAAUGGAUUCCGUGAUCUUUGAAAGGAAAAGUGCUAUGGCUAACGCGUACCCUUCAUAUUUGAAGCUUCCUUUUCCCUCGGCAACCAAUAUGAAGGCGUUAAGAACCAGUGGACAAGCAGAGACGGUGAGUACCUUCAGCAAAGCAAAGAAGCCAGACAGUAAAAUGUCUUUCCAGUGGCACAUGACUAUUGUUCUUAGUACUGAAGGUUGAGAAGAAGGUUCGAUUUGUUUCUGUUUGUUCAACCGCUCCAAGUACUGCAAAUAGCAACUUUCUGCUCGAUCUUCCUCACGCAGCUUGGGUAUAUCCUCUUCCUCUAGAGUUUUCUCCCUACCCUUUUUCAUCAGCGAGUUCAGCCACCAGAUUGUGGCUUUACUGAAAAAUCCAGCUUUGCUAAACGGCGUAACAUGAUCACUUUUACAGAUGCCGCCGUUGGACUCACCGUUCAGAGGCGUAUAAAGGUCAGUUGCGGUGAUGCUCUCGUCACCAUCUCCAUAUUUACUCCCCUUAUACGCACAUAACAGCAACAAUGUUGCUCCUGGGAAAGACAAUAUAUCUAAUACAGUCUUUGCUGACAAUUCUUUUCUGAAAAUGGCAGCAAAGAGCGAUGCAGCGCAGACGACUCCGGAAAACAAGAACGCAAGGAUGGACAACAAUCUUGACGGCUUCCUUGGAAGCUUUCUUCCGCGGAUGCUUAUAGUUAAACUAACCACCAACCAUGUGAACCCUUGAAACAACGAAAGUAGCCACCAAUUCAAAGGCAAAGCAGUACGAGUACUCCUCAGAUUCUCUUCCAGAAUCCAGACUCCCAGCCCCAAGUACACAAUUCCAAGGCAGCCAUUGACAACAGCAGAGGCUAUCUGCAAACCCGAAAAGCCUUGAUAUCGGGCUGGAAUGUGAAGUGAUUUCGACGAUGGCUUUUGAAGCAUGUUAAACAAGAGCAUUGCUAGAAGCAAAAUGUCAAACCCAAUUAUCGACACAUGAUUGACGCAUGAAGAAGGUUGAAACAGAGACUGAAGAGUUAAAGUGAGUGCCCUUCCAGCUUCAUCCGAAAGACCGGAUUCCCCACAAAACGCAGUCCACAAAUCCUCCAUCAUGCUUUAAUUAACUCUGCAGUUACACAAUGCGAGAACAUACAACAAGAAACAAUCAGAUAACCCCAGAAACACAAAUUAACAAAAUCUUGGGGGAAAAACUGAAAAAAAAUGCGAACUUGAAGAUUCUUAACAUCAAUUUAGUCCAAAGAAUUAAAGGGCAUAUACCUUUUGGUUUUGUUUUGAUAAAUGCGGGAUCAAACUCAGGAUCUCGGGUUUCGGGUGCAAGAGUAGUAAAUGCUCUUAACCGCUCACAUGACCCAAGAACAGGAUGUCCUCCUCCUCCUCCUCUGAGGCCAAUGCUUCACAGAAAGCAAAACACCAAAGCAUUAGGUCCUAUAAAAAUUACCCAAUUUGUCACUCAGCUGUCCAAGUUAGAAAGAAUGUCCGGAAAUUAAAUCAAACAGUGUUUUGAAACUACGAACGUGAGAUGUGCAACUUGUGAUAAAUUCGACAUGCGACAACACGUUAAAAUAAUACGACAACAAUCACGUCUUUGUCUUGUGUUUAACAGCGACGUAAAGUUAAAAUAUUUGGUGGAAGAAAAACAGAGGAAGCAAAGCAAUUCAAGACCAAUCAAACAACUCUACAUAUAAUAAUAUAAUAAAAAUUGCAAUGAAAAAUAAUAAUUAUAAAAAAAAAAAGGGUUUUGGACUAACCAGGAACCCAAGAAACCCGAAAUCUUCAAUGUCCGUUUUUGCAAAACCCAGAAUUUAAUUUCUUGAAUUUGUUUAUUUUUGAGUUCUUUUAAUUUCCUUGAAAGAAAAAGAUGGAGUCUUUGCACCCGAUUGCUGAUGGGCUCCGAGUUUAUGGUAGAGACUGACAAAACGUGGGUUUAGAGAGAGAGAGAGAGAGGAGAGAAUGACUUGAGUUUUUAGUCAGCUUUUUUCGUCUAAGAAAAAAGUAAUGGUUGCAAAAUUUGCAACUGCGAGUCAAAAAGUUGUGGAUUUCUGAGAGAGGGAGAGGGAGAUGUGUAAGGUCGGAGUCGGUAUGUCGUCAUGGCUCACGUCUCUGCGUCUUGAAAACACGUGGGCUUUGUUCGUCCGUCGUUUCCUUUUCUCUGUGUGAUCCGCAGCCGUACUGGGAUUCUGUGGCUACGCAGGCGCAACUGCCCAGAUUUUAAUAUGCAUGUAUAUUCAAAUAAGAACAAAAAUUACGUAUUAUUAAAUAGAAAACACCGAAUACCCGUCAAACACCAAUCAAAUUGGAAAUGGUUUAUGCUCGUUUAGAAAUACUUUUAAAUGAUUGAAAGUGUUUUUAGGAAAAAUUUUGUUGGCAAGUACUAGCUAUAGAGCUUAUUUAGAUGUACUUUUAAAAUGACUAAAAAUACUUAUGGUGAAAAUGUUUUUGGAACCAAUCCUUAGUAAAAAUACAAAUAAAUUGUAGAAAAACACUUAAGUGUUUCUUGCUUUUUGAAAUAAGCACAUAACUGGUGCUUCUUGCAGAAAACACUUUAAGUGCUUUUGGAAUCAAAAAACAUUUUCUUUAAAAACGCUUUCAGUUAUUUUAAAAACACAUUCAAACGAACUCAUAUACUUCUUACAUGAAAUACUUUCCAUUGUUUUUUUAUUCAAGAUUAACUUACAUUUUUACCAAUGAUUUGUUUAAAAGCAUUUUUUUAAAACAGUUUUAGUUAUUUAAAAACACUUCUCAAACGAGAAACUAGUCAUCUACAAGUAUAAAACAUAAACACAGUUUUAGGGACAAUAAAAGUAGGGGUAUGCUAUCCAUACAUCCUAUUUUACUUCUCACACACCUCUUGUUAAUUUCUGUCAUUUGAUUUUCUUUAAUUCAUCUGAUCCGACAGUCGAAAUUUAAAAAGGUGUGUGAGAAGUUAAAAAUGGUGUAUGGAUAUUACAUCUCUAAAAGUAUGAGGAAGAGUAUGAUGUGCUUAUUUAUUUUGCAUGGUGAAAUAGGCAAAAUGUACAUAAGAAAAGAAAUCGUGGAGGGGAGUAUGAAGAAAUGAGAGUUCAGUCAAUUAUCUUUUGGAUAAGGAUUGUCUGCCCUCCUAGUUGUGGUGUCCUUCCAUGCCCUCCUAUUUUGUGCAGUCACGGUUAAGCCACGUUAAUAUUUUAUAUUAAUUUUUUAAUGAGAUAAUAAGACAAAAAACAAUAAAAAUAUAAAAUAUUGACGUGGCUUAACCGUGACCGCACAAAAUAGGAGGGCAUGGAAGGGCACCACAACUAGGAGGGCAGACAAUCCUUGUCCUUAUCUUCUCCGAUCCUAGUUGAUAUAAUUUUCCUUUUAUGUGAAUUAUUAUGGAUUUUAAUGUGAAACACGUAUUAGUAUUUAUUUAUUACGAGCAAGUAAACACAUGAGAAGUUUUGAGUAGCAAGUGAAGAAUUAUUAGAAUAAUUUUAGUAUUCAUUAUGUGUGGCUCGUGUCAUUAUUUAAUUCUAAUGCAUAUUUAAACGAUUAAACAAUUUUUAGAUAUAAGUUUGUAGACUUAGAGAUGAUAUGGUCAAUCAAGAUAAUCAAAAUCUAUUAUGAUCCUACAUCGGCUACAUCAGAAAUGGUGUAGUGGUACUUAAGUUCUUUGGGUCCUCCCACCUAUCAAGCAGUCUUUUGGGUUGGGCUCUUCCCUUGGGUUUGAGUACCUAACAUUGGUAUAAGAGCCUAGGUUCUUGACGAUGCGAAGGGGGUGACCUGGAUAGGGCUACCUUAAUGGGACGACCAACAGGAUGCGCUACCGUUAAGAGUGAAAGCCACUAUAAUAAGGGCCACCGUAUACGUCGGGUCCCGACGCUGCAGAGAGGGCGACCUGGAAAUUGCUACCUUAACAAGACGACCAAAGGAGGGUGCGCCGCCAUUAAGAGUAAAAGCCACCAAAGUAAAAACCGUCGUGGACGUUAGGUCUUCCAAAGGGUGGUGUGAUGUUAUGAUCCCACAUCGGCUACACUAGAAAUGAUGUAGUUGUACUUAAGUCAUUGAGAUCCUCCCACGUAUCAAGCUAGUCUUUUGGGUUGGGCUUUUUCCUUAGGCUUGAGUACCUAACAAAAUCACGAAGAUAAGGUAUUGAAAAUGAUUAAGAUAAUAUUUUUAAAAUUUGGAAAUCAAAUUAGAUGCAAGUUCGAGGUUAGAUCGAUGUGCUUAUUUGCCAAUUACAUAAAUGACAAAUAUACUUAUAGAUCUAUAGUCGAGAAAAUAAAUUAGUAUUGAACUAGCUAUUUGCUAGAUUCAAAUUGACAACCUCUAACUUAUAAGUUAAAAAAAUAUAUAAAUUGGUUGUAGUACUAAGUGACGAGUUGUAUAUCUUUAAACUUGCAGUAGUUAAUUUAGGUUUUAAUAAAACCUAUUUCUUCAUAGAUACCGUCAUACCUAACGAUUGAACUCAUGUUACCAAAAUAAUCAAAUUGAGUUUAAGAUAGUAGUUGUAUUUAAUAUAGGUUUGCUUCUCUGCCAGCAUGCCAUGCAUAUGCAAAGCUUAGGAUUCUAGGUAUGUGGGGGCGAGCGAUGAUUUUUGUCGAAGGGAUGCAUCAUGCAGAUAAAUCAUACCCGUCAUUUCCCAAACUAUCAAAAUCAGGCCAUAUUCCUCAAAGCAAAUUGAAGAGGAUCGAAUAUACAUGAUAGUGAUAAUUACGUGGUACAAUGGAAAUGCAAUAAAAUUCCAAGUCAGAUUUGUUCUACUCAAAAUGAGAGUUUCCCCCUUAAAACUUAUUUUCUCUCACUUAAAACCCAUCCUCUUUAUUUUUUCAGACAUAAACCCCAUUUACUAGAGUCAUUAACAAGCUUGGUAUGUCAGUUUUUAUAAUUCUCGUGUUCCUAAAAUACCCUCAUAGAAUGUAACAUGGGUUAUAUAAUUAAUAAUAAAUUUUUCAUUUUAUUAUUUUCAAUGCAAUUAAAUGUCAACUAACCUAUUAUUUGAUUAGGCUUUUUUUUUCUCAAAUUUUUUUACCAAAAAUAUCAUGAAACUAGCUUACCUUAUUAGCAUGCAAUAUAUAAUAUAAAUAAAAAAAUAUUAUGGUGUUUUACGUUGAGACAUGGACAAAAAUACAACAACAACAACAACAACAACAAAGCCUUUUCCCACUAAGUGGGGUCGGCUAUAUGAAUCCUAGAACGCCAUUGCGCUCGGUUUUGUGUCAUGUCCUCCGUUAGAUCCAAGUACUCUAAGUCUUUCUUAGAGUCUCUUCCAAAGUUUCCUAGGUCUUCCUCUACCCCUUUGGCCCUGACCUCUGUCCGUAUCACAUCUUCGAACCGGAGCGUCAGUCGGCCUUCUUGCACAUGUCAAAUCAUCGGAGCCGAUUUCUCUCAUCUUUCCUACAAUUUCGGCUACUCCUACUUUACCUCGAUAUCCUCAUUCCCAAUCUUAUCCUUCUCGUGUGCCCACACAUCCCACGAAGCAUCCUCAUCUCCGCUACACCCAUUUUGUGUACGUGUUGAUGCUUCACCGCCAACAUCUGUGCCAUACAACAUCGCUGGCCUAUUGCCGUCCUAUAAAAUUUUCCUUGAGCUUCAGUGCCUACGACGGUCACACAACACGCCGAUGCACUCUACAACUUCAUCCAUCCAGCUCGUAUUCUAUGGUUGAGAUCUCCAUCUAAUUCUCCGUUCUCUUGCAGAUAAUCCAUGGUAGCGAAACGGUCGCUUUUUGUGAUCUUCGCUAGAUUGCUCCGGUCAUUAGUGUGAAGUAUAAUAUGGAUAGAGAUAGGAAAGCAAAACACAAGUGUACGUGUUCACCAGAUUGGCUACGUCCACGAUAGAAGAGUUCUCAUUAAUUGUUGAAGGGUUUUACACAAGUACAUAGGUUCAAGCUCUCCUUUAGUGAUACAAGUGAAUGAUUUAUACAAAUGACAUUAGGAAAUAUUGUGGGAGAAUGAUUCGUAAUCACGAAACUUCUAAGUAUCGGAGUGUGUGUCGUCUUGACUUGCCUUAUCUGUCUCAUAGGUAGAUGUGGCAUCUUCUCUGGAAGUACUCUUCCUCCAUCCAGGGUGGAUCUUUAAACUGGUGGAGAUGCACAAGGUAAUGUAUCAAUUUCACUUGAAGCUUACUUGUAGUCUCAGGCCUGGUCAAUCGCGAUACAAAACCAUGUAGUAGGAGUCCCCCAAGUCGCCGAGCUAGGGGGUCUGCUGAAAGAGGUGACAGACAAGGUAAGCAAUCAGAGCUCCGACUGAUUGUUCCUUCUCCCCAUCUUGCAGCAGCAUGAGAUAAAGAGAAGAAAAUGAGAAAGAUGAUAUGAGAUACUUUGCUUUGAAGAAGUAACUUUCCACAGGCUUAUUCUUGAACUGAGCUGGAGGUUUUUCUGGUUUCCUCCAGAGUAUAAAGGCCGACUGAAGAAUUUGAGGUCAACAAGUCCAUCAAAUCUAGAGUACGUCCACCCUCUGAUAUGGGAUACUUUGCUUUUGACAGAGUAAUGGGUGUAUCGGCACGUGUGCUGUACGCUUGUCUCCACAUGCUUCCUUGUAUCCUUCGCACUUCCCUAUCUGUCCUCAAGCAGAUGCGGAAUCUUCCCUGGAAACAUAAGAUGUUGAAGAUGAGUACUCGAGAGCAAUGCCAGGUAAUAAUCAGGUAAGGUUCCAGGCAGUCAGUUCCUGGCUGGAAGCUUGAUCCAAGUGCUGACUGAUUCUCCUUUCUCCUUGUCUUGCAGGUAAAACAAGCCAAAGGAAAAGACAGGGAAAAGCAUGAUAUGGAUACUCUUGCUUUAACCCUGAUGAUAUGAAUAUUCUUGCUCUAGUAUAGCUUGUUUGCAGAGGUAUUAUCGGGGGAAAGAAAGCUGAAUAUUUCAAAGGCUUCGUUGGAGUGCCUCUCAUAUAUGAUGAAGGUUUGAGCAUUUUUGCAGUCUGCCUGUCCGUUGGGAUGGAGGUCGACAUAUAUAGGAGUCCCCUAACAACAGUAUAAUCAUUCAUUUACCCUGCUUGGUCAUAGCACGGUAGUGGAGCUGCCAGUUUCACAUGUUUUAACUCUGUCAGAGCACUUUUGAAAAAGUGGUCUGUGGUAUCUGGCUAUCGAGAUUCGGAGAACGUGCCUCUUCGAUUUUUGAGAAGCAAUCAUGCUGGGGGUCUGGUCUCGAGAUUCGUAGAGCAGUGUCUCUUCGAUUUUUGAGGAAGUAAUCAUGUUGGGAGUCUGGCUCUCGAGAUUCGGAGGCGGUGCCUCUUCGAUUUUGGAGCAAGCAAUCCUGUUGGGAGUGUUGUCUCGAAUGUGAGUAAAGGUUGGGCAUGUUGCUAGUCUACCUUGCCACAAGCACAAAGGUUGACACACAGAGACUUUCCAAUUAUCAGCAAUGGUACUGUUCUUUACCCUCUCUUCGCUUUUGAGAAGUAGUCAUGUUGGGAGUCUAUCUCUCGAGAUUCGGAGGACGGCCUCUUCGAUUUUGGAGCAAGCAAUCUUGUUGGGAGUGUUUCUCGAAAGUGAGUAAAGGUUGGGCAUGUUGCUAGUCUACCUGCCACGAGCACAGAGGUUGACACACAGGGACUUUCCAAUAAUCCAGCAGUGGUACUGUUCCUUUACCCUUGUGGGUAAUAAUAGGUAGCUAGACCUUCAAAAUUUAUGUGUCUAAACUUUGUUAGUGAUGUUUCUUUGCUAUUCUUUUACCUUUCUUGGUCAGAGCGAUGUAGUGGAGCUGCAAGCUUCACGUGCUUAACUUUGGCAGAGAAACUUUGGCAAGUUAUCUGGGU
rnacentral:lncRNA from 1 species